rnacentral:lncRNA from 1 species
UUUUUUUUUUUUCUUUUUUUCUUUUCUCAUACCCCCUCCUCCUCUAUCACCGCUAACAUAGUUUACUGGACAAAUUUACAAAGGUCUAAAAUAUAACAUAUUUUUAUGUUAAUAUAAUUAACCUAAAAAAUAAUUUUUAAAUAUAAUUUUAAAAAAAUAUUAGAAAUUAUUUCUCAUUUUCUCUUCCUUAAUUUGUUUUCUUUUCGUUUCAUCAUCUAUCAUUUUGCAUCAUCAUCUUCGAGAGGAGGUGGAGAAAAUAAAAUUAAAAAUAAAAAAAGACAGAUAAUAAAUAAAAUAAUUAUUAAAAUUAAAUUAUAAAUUGGGGAUAUAUAUAUAUAUAUAUCCCAAGAUAACUUAAGAAUAUUUAAAAUUCUUAAUAUUAGUUGGUAAAUAAUAAGAAUGGAAUUAUAAAUUGUAAUUGUUACGGUCAGUAACUGUUCAGCCGGGGCCUUGGGGCCGUCGCGGCUUGGUUCGGGUCCGGAAGGCGGUGGUCAACGGGUGGGGGGAGCCCCUCGGGGUCUCUCGGCGGCCGAGCUCGGUUGUUCGGGUCGGCGGUUCGGGUCGGUGGUUCGGGUCGGUGGUUCGGGUCGGGAGGCAGCUCCGUCGCAGCUUCAGGAAGUGGCGACACCGUCUCGCACCUGCACACAGGUCGGGCCGGGAGCUCGGCCCGACCCCUCCGACGAUCAAGUUAGAGGAAGACGUGGAGGGGGUUGUGGAUGAGGCAAAAGAAGAGCCUCUGAGUGUUUUGUGUCUGAGUGAGUUCCUCUCCUCCCUUUUCUCUUUAGAGUUUGGGGGUAUUUAUAGAUGAAGUUUGAUGUUACCUGACGUGGUUGUCUGCAGGGUAGGACUGUACCUUUGGUGGCGUGGGAGGCCGAGCUGCUGCAGGGUAUGGCGUGCCUCGGGCAACGUGUCGCUCAGAAGGAUGUUGUCAGGGCGUGUCACAUCGCCACUUUUAUCCCUAUCAUAUGCCCCCCCCAAAAGGAGCCAUGCGUCGGUCGUGAAGNNNNNNNNNNNNNNNNNNNNNNNNNNNNNNNNNNNNNNNNNNNNNNNNNNNNNNNNNNNNNNNNNNNNNNNNNNNNNNNNNNNNNNNNNNNNNNNNNNNNNNNNNNNNNNNNNNNNNNNNNNNNNNNNNNNNNNNNNNNNNNNNNNNNNNNNNNNNNNNNNNNNNNNNNNNNNNNNNNNNNNNNNNNNNNNNNNNNNNNNNNNNNNNNNNNNNNNNNNNNNNNNNNNNNNNNNNNNNNNNNNNNNNNNNNNNNNNNNNNNNNNNNNNNNNNNNNNNNNNNNNNNNNNNNNNNNNNNNNNNNNNNNNNNNNNNNNNNNNNNNNNNNNNNNNNNNNNNNNNNNNNNNNNNNNNNNNNNNNNNNNNNNNNNNNNNNNNNNNNNNNNNNNNNNNNNNNNNNNNNNNNNNNNNNNNNNNNNNNNNNNNNNNNNNNNNNNNNNNNNNNNNNNNNNNNNNNNNNNNNNNNNNNNNNNNNNNNNNNNNNNNNNNNNNNNNNNNNNNNNNNNNNNNNNNNNNNNNNNNNNNNNNNNNNNNNNNNNNNNNNNNNNNNNNNNNNNNNNNNNNNNNNNNNNNNNNNNNNNNNNNNNNNNNNNNNNNNNNNNNNNNNNNNNNNNNNNNNNNNNNNNNNNNNNNNNNNNNNNNNNNNNNNNNNNNNNNNNNNNNNNNNNNNNNNNNNNNNNNNNNNNNNNNNNNNNNNNNNNNNNNNNNNNNNNNNNNNNNNNNNNNNNNNNNNNNNNNNNNNNNNNNNNNNNNNNNNNNNNNNNNNNNNNNNNNNNNNNNNNNNNNNNNNNNNNNNNNNNNNNNNNNNNNNNNNNNNNNNNNNNNNNNNNNNNNNNNNNNNNNNNNNNNNNNNNNNNNNNNNNNNNNNNNNNNNNNNNNNNNNNNNNNNNNNNNNNNNNNNNNNNNNNNNNNNNNNNNNNNNNNNNNNNNNNNNNNNNNNNNNNNNNNNNNNNNNNNNNNNNNNNNNNNNNNNNNNNNNNNNNNNNNNNNNNNNNNNNNNNNNNNNNNNNNNNNNNNNNNNNNNNNNNNNNNNNNNNNNNNNNNNNNNNNNNNNNNNNNNNNNNNNNNNNNNNNNNNNNNNNNNNNNNNNNNNNNNNNNNNNNNNNNNNNNNNNNNNNNNNNNNNNNNNNNNNNNNNNNNNNNNNNNNNNNNNNNNNNNNNNNNNNNNNNNNNNNNNNNNNNNNNNNNNNNNNNNNNNNNNNNNNNNNNNNNNNNNNNNNNNNNNNNNNNNNNNNNNNNNNNNNNNNNNNNNNNNNNNNNNNNNNNNNNNNNNNNNNNNNNNNNNNNNNNNNNNNNNNNNNNNNNNNNNNNNNNNNNNNNNNNNNNNNNNNNNNNNNNNNNNNNNNNNNNNNNNNNNNNNNNNNNNNNNNNNNNNNNNNNNNNNNNNNNNNNNNNNNNNNNNNNNNNNNNNNNNNNNNNNNNNNNNNNNNNNNNNNNNNNNNNNNNNNNNNNNNNNNNNNNNNNNNNNNNNNNNNNNNNNNNNNNNNNNNNNNNNNNNNNNNNNNNNNNNNNNNNNNNNNNNNNNNNNNNNNNNNNNNNNNNNNNNNNNNNNNNNNNNNNNNNNNNNNNNNNNNNNNNNNNNNNNNNNNNNNNNNNNNNNNNNNNNNNNNNNNNNNNNNNNNNNNNNNNNNNNNNNNNNNNNNNNNNNNNNNNNNNNNNNNNNNNNNNNNNNNNNNNNNNNNNNNNNNNNNNNNNNNNNNNNNNNNNNNNNNNNNNNCCUUCCUUCUAGCGCCAAAAUGUUACGGUCAGUAACUGUUCAGCCGGGGCCUUGGGGCCGUCGCGGCUUGGUUCGGGUCCGGAAGGCGGUGGUCAACGGGUGGGGGGAGCCCCUCGGGGUCUCCCGGCGGCCGAGCUCGGUUGUUCAGGUCGGCGGUUCGGGUCGGUGGUUCGGGUCGGGAGGCAGCUCCGUCGCAGCUUCAGGAAGUGGCGACACCGUCUCGCACCUGCACACAGGUCGGGCCGGGAGCUCGGCCCGACCCCUCCGACGAUCAAGUUAGAGGUAGACGUGGAGGGGGUUGUGGAUGAGGCAGAAGAAGAGCCUCUGAGUGUUUUGUGUCUGAGUGAGUUCCUCUCCUCCCUUUUCUCUUUAGAGUUUGGGGGUAUUUAUAGAUGAAGUUUGAUGUUACCUGACGUGGUUGUCUGCAGGGUAGGACUGUACCUUUGGUGGCGUGGGAGGCCGAGCUGCUGCAGGGUAUGGUGUGCCUCGGGCAAUGUGUCGCUCAGAAGGAUGUUGUCAGGGCGUGUCACAUCGUCACUUUUAUCCCUAUCAGUAAUCUCCAUCCUCAAUUAGUACUAACGUAAAGUAGUCGAAUGACCAAAAAGAUCCUUCGCCACACAGAAAUUACUAGGGUGCCCAAAUAUUCCUACGUGGCAUGAAAUUUGACCAUUCCAAGAAAAUCACAAAAUAUGUUUGAUCUCAAAAUUACUACGUGGCAUGAAAAUUGACUAAUUCCAAAGAAAUCACACGAUAUGUUGGAUCUCAAAAAUUACUUAUGGAAUCUGGAUUAUGAGCUGGCAACAGAGUAAUCUCAUUCCUAACGCAUCGUUGCCUCCAUUCCCGAGACAGAGAGAGAGAGAGAGGGGUCUGCAGGUGAGAGAUGACAUGUGUAUAUAUAUAUAUAUAUAUAUAUAUAUAUAUAUAUAGAGAGAGAGAGAGAGAGAGAGAGAGAGAGAGAGAGAGAGAGAGGGGGGUCUGCAGGUGAGAGAUGACAUGUGUAUAUAUAUAUAUAUAUAUAUAGAGAGAGAGAGAGAGAGAGAGAGAAAAGAGAAGAUGAUUGAUGGAAUGUGUGUUUGGAAUAGGCAGUAUUUUAUGUAGCCAAAGAGGUAUACGAUGCACGUGUCACGUAGGUAUCCAUGUGAGGCGGAAAGUAGGUCGCCUUCGACAUUGGCAUGCAGUGGCGGCCACCACGAAUCAACUGGAGAUCAAAGCUAACCUUGCAGCAACAUGCGGAUGGCAAUGGCGGACGAACUGUCGUCCGCCACACGCACUCAUUGCAGGGGUUGAAGUGGCUCUGCCUCCUCUCGUCCUCAGCCGUCCUCGACGAGAAGUGUGCAUGGCAGAUAGAUGCGCACCAGACGUGGAUCAGUUGUUGUUGUGCACCUGGUCAAACCAUGCACUCAUGCACGAGCAAUGUGGCAGCUUGUGAGAGCUUCCUUUUGUUGGUAGUGCUGUUCUAUUUCUGGGCAAGCUCAAUACCGUCUCUUUUGAUGCGAAACAAGAGACAGUUUGUCAUCGAGUCGAAAUGGUUGUGUGGUAGCAGUCGUUUCGACGAUGAUCAUCAGUUUACUCAUGAUCAGCCACAUGAGCCUUGAGACGAUCAUGAGUCCGUCCCCUUCAUUGCUUGUUUACUUCGAUCUGAGGGCUGAUGAGAGGCAGACAAACUGUGAUGCAGAGCACAGCCCCAACUCAGACUCGUUCUUGAGCCCAAGUAAUUAUUUGGGAAGGGAUAGAUUCUCUCGUGAUUUUGGCUGCUGGAAGCUGUCUGAAGUGACAGUUCGUUGGACUAACAACAACAACAACAACGUCUCUCUCAUUGGAUUCUCCUUUUCGUGUUGUCAGCGUCCGACACCGAUUGAUAUCUAAACACUUGUCUUCCUUGUUGUUCUUAGCGGUUUGUUUCUACUCAACUGUGCACUCCACAGGGCAAGGAUGGCAGUUCUCGACCAGACCUGCAAUAUUCCUGCCUAAUUAUGUCUCUUUCCUCUCCCAACUCUUUCCACCAUUGAUUGCAAUGUUAGCGCAGCAUCCUUCCUUUUGCUUCUUACCUGUGUUUAAGCAAGAAGGAAAAGCUUCUGUUCUGUUUGAUCAUGGAAAUCUUUCCGAGGUAAAUGUUCUCUCUGUCAGUGACCAGGGUCCAGGAGAUGCCCACCUUCAUCCCUGUAUCUUGAACUUCCUCCUGACAUCUAAGCGUAUGAUUAGUACGGUGAGACGUAUCAGCAAUGUUUUGCACAUGGAAACAUGAAGGCCGAGCAUGCUAAUUAAAGAGAAAGGGUGAUUUAAAUGACACAACAUCUCUUAGUACUCUGAUUCAUGGUGGAACAAACAAUCCAUUUAGACCAAACCAUACGAGAGACAUACACCGUUCAAGAACGGACAUGAGAACCAUCGUGACUCGGUUGGGCAGGCAGGCAGGCAGCGUUAUCGACCUUGAAGCUAAACUUGCUUGUUCCCCUUGAUGGAUAGCCCGAAAUGGAUCUCGGGGAAGUGUGCCCACUGCAAGUUGACAGAAAGCUGCAUGAAUCACAAUCGUUGAAGAUGUAGAACAGUUAUGGCUAAGGAACUUGAAGACACCGAUGCCUGGUCUCACGAUGUGGAAGAGCUCGUUGCAUCAAGAGAUAAAAGGCUAUCUACCACGAACUGGUCCUGUCUUUCCAGUCAUCCUCUAUUUGACAAUGUAGGUGAAAUUUUGGAGACCAACCAUCAAGAUUAAUCAAGACCUAAAUAGCAAGCAAGUCGGUAUGCUACGCACUCGAGGAAUAGAUCCUUCCUCAACUACAAUCCUCUGAUCAAUAUGCGUUAGCGAUCCGGGCACCGUGUAUUCAUGUCCUAUAUUUGCAAUAGUUCACCGAAUGAAUCAUUGUAGAUUGUGAGAUUAGCUCUGCAGCUUCAUUCAUUCACAUAUCGCCUUGAUGAUUCAACCAUGUCGUCUUCGGUCAAUGCCUACCGGAAAUAUGGAUUCUACUGAUUUGUUCGAGGAUGGAUGAGUAUUCAGCGUGCAAAAACAGGAGGAAGAGGAAGCAUUGCGGUGAUGGUGAUGGCUGAGUGGAGGCAGCGGAUCGAGGAGGGCUUUAAUCCUGGAAACGUAAAGUGGGCAACUAUGAUGGAGGAGAAGGAAAGAUGAUGAUGGAAGCGGAGGCGAUGGUGGAGUAGAUCGUGAUGGAGGAGGUGGAGGAUGAGAUCGAACGGGGCGAGACACGAGGCAGAUGGGAUCAAAGUGAUGGCAAUGAAGAAGAUGAAGAGAGGUCGAAUGGAUGACAAAGUCGAAGUGACCCAUCCAUUAAAGCCUUGUUGGUCGGAAAACAUACUCUGAUCGUUGAUUCCUUCAAGCCCAAGUGCUCAGCUCGCAGCUUCCAUUCUGCACUCUCUCUGAUAUAAUCCUCUCAUGUCUGAUAAGCAACACUUUGCAGCAAAUUUAAAGUGAAAAUGGCUGUAAAUUUAAGCUAAGGGUUUAUCUUAUCAUUUUCAUUUAGAGGACCAAUUCGUCUAGCAUAUAUCUUUACUUUCUGCUAAUUAAAUCUUCAUCAUUUGUGGCUUAAUUCUCAGCAACACUAGUAAUGCUUACAUUUUUUGCUGCCGUGCUGAAAGCUUCCUUGUGGCUAAUGUUGGGAUUUUUCGCCUUCAGCCGCUGAAUCUCCUCCCUGCGUAAGAAAAGUUCUCGAUAUCACUGAUGAUAGCAAUACGUAAUCCAACUUUAUUUAGGUCGAGGAACUUACUUGAUGAAUCUGUUAUAGGCAGAAGGAGCACGUCGCUUCUCGGUGGACGCUUCCAGGAAGAUGAAAAGAAUCAGACACGAAUGGUUGUUUCAAGAAUCAGACAUGAAGAAGAAGAAGAAGAAUUGAAUUUAUGAACUUUUGCGUGUGUAUGCAUAGAAUGUGGUGUCGCAGAAAGGCUUACGAUGGAUCAGCUGCAUUUGUUGUUGAACGAAAUCCAUCGAGCUCAUCACUGAUAGGCUGGUGCGGGUGGAAGAAGAUCCGGAAUCCAUGUGAAGGUGUUGAGAUCCAAGGUUAUGACUCUGCACUUUGUUUUCAGUGAAUUAAGAGUAAAAAAUAAAAAGUUCAUCAUCACCAUAUACAUAUGGGAGAUGUUAUCUUUGUGCUGACAUUUGAGAUGAAAUAAUUCUUGGGUGCUACUUGAUGAGAAGAGAAAACAUUGUUCAUGUCCAAGGAGCAUCACAGAUGAAUUGUCUAGACUGCAGGUUUUCUUGAUGAGAAGAGAAAAACAUUGUUCAUGUCCAUUGUUCAUGUCCAUGGAGAUCAAUCCAUUUUCUCCAAGUGUUUGCAUAUCUAUCCCUAUUUCAAUUGAUGUUGAGCUAUAAACAGUUAAAUCUUGCAACAAGUAAUCAUCUCAAGCUUUCGAUGAACCGAUUGCAGUCGAAACACAAUAUGUCAUCAGUGAAUCUUCAUUGAUCCAACAUUUGCCGCACGUCAUGAGUUUUUCUAGCAUUCCUUCCUUUAUCAGCGUCGAAAAAAAGGCUAAAUCACAAAGAUCUAUAAACAUAAUAAGCAAAAAAAAAGUUGCAUUUGCAUACACUAAAUAAUUAACGUAUGCAAUUCUGCACAGAUCUAUAAACAAGUAAAUAAGAACAAAUUGUGGGUGCAAAAGAACACGAAGUACUGUGCAAAUCAUGAAGAAAUCAUAAGCCAAAGUAGGGGUGUGUUAACCUGAAGAUUCUGAAGUGGGAGUUUUCCAAGCAAGGCUUCAAGAUUCACAUACAGGAUAUUAGCACAAAGGCCACAUCUUACCGUGACAAUGUUGAAUGAGUUGUCGUGAGGGACAUUAACCUGAAGUAAGAAGAGAAGGAAUACAUGAGAUGAACAAUAAGCACACUUUUCUCUUUGGCUUUGGGACAACGAAGAGAGAGAGAGUGUGUGUGUGUGUGUCAAGUACUAGAUUUGUAGUCACCGAGGAGGUCAUUGGUUUGCACUAAUUAUGUUACAUUCGUGCAUUACUUUUCUCUGAACAAAAUGCACAAGACACGAGAUAGCAAUCGGUACUCGGUGCUGGUUCUGAAGAACACUCGCUGUAAGAAAUGAAGAGAGAAGCAGAAGAAAAGAGAGAACUAGGGUUUCGGAUCCAGCUUCUCCUUGGAGUCGUGACAAAGCCAGCCCAAGCAACCAUGCUAGUUUUGGGAGCUUUGCAGCGAACUAGGGUUUCAGAUGGCUUAGAGAUUUAGGAUCAAAGAAUCUGAUGAAGAAGAGUGUCAAGUUUCAUGGCUAAAUGAUGGGCUCAAUUGGUUUCAUGCUUACUGCAACAGCUCCCAGGGUGAAGGACAUGUAACAUGCGCAUGCAUGGAGUCACCUGCACUAUGAGAUCUCGCAGAAGAGCUCUUCUCAGAGAUUAGGGUGUAGAAAGGUUUGGCUGCACCGGAGACCCCACAUGUUCAUGUCGAAUAUAUUCCUUCUGGCAGGGCUCAAAAAGGACAAGAACAAACUCUUGAUCGUUUAUACCCUAAAACUUGGGUCCUCAGAUCAUGAUGACCAUCCUGAAAGUUUACUGCAUCUGGUUGUAAUUUAGUCGAUAAAUCUCCCUUAAAGAUGAAGCAAAGUUGAUACAUACAUAAUAGACAUACACUGAUAUCUCUCAUCUCAGUAGAGCUGCUUUGGGUAGGUAAUAUGAUGAUGGGUGAGAAGGUAAAGAAAAGCGAAGAGAGCGAGAGGGAGGGAGGCUGUGCAGAAUAUACCACUAGAACAGUGUUGCAGAAGCUGCAACCGACGUAGCAAACUUGAUCGGGCAAGACAUGGCCGGACGACAUCUCCGAUGACAGAGGGAAUUGAGAAGUCGGGGAUAUGUAGGCUAAGGGUGGAAGAGAGAUGAUGGAAAGAGCGGAAGAGAGAAGAGGAUGAGAAGUAGAACAGAUAAGAGCGAUGGCAUCAUAUUAAUUGCAAGAUGGAAGUCACGGGUAAAGGAGGGGGGGAUGAAUAAAAGGGAGGAGGAGUUGUACGGGAACGUAAGCCCAGCCAAACAUUUCUCAGGUUGAAUGGGAUGUGCCAUGGGAAUGUGGAAAACAAGGUAGAAGAAGUACAAUCAAUGUAAUGAUUGACUGAAAUGAGUGAAUGGGAGUGUGUUCUUCUCUCUCUCUCUCUCUCUCUCUCUCUCUUAGUUUUAACAUUUCAGAAGAUUAAUCUUGACUUUACUAUAUUAUUUUACCACAUUUAUUUUCUGAAUUAUUUUUUGAACGGUGGAUGAAAAAGUUGUCACAGAUCGUGAGUCCUACGAAAAGAUUGGAUACAUAUAUUAAUACAACAAUAUCUGAAAAUUGAAAAACCCUUAAUUAUAUGUAAUAGUUUUUCCGAAGAUAAUUUUACAUUUCUCAUUUGAUGCUCAUAUUUCUUUAAUAACCUAAAUGUUUCUCGCUUUCGUCGUAUCACGAAAGCCUCCUUCUCUUUGCGAUGCCUAUUGUUUUCUUGCUUUUGUCUUGCUAUAGAUGUCUCAAUAAAAGAAAGUCAGAAUAGAUGAGAAGAAACAAAAAUUCAGAAUAUAAAUAGGAAAGAAAAGAAGAAAAGAAAAUCAAAGCACGAAGAAGAGAGAAGAAAAGAAAAUAGGGCGAAGAUGACAAAACAAAGAUGAUGACAUUUAGGGUAUUAGAGCGAAAAGAGGCACCAAACAAGAAAACGAAAGGAUCACCCAUAAUUUUUUUUUAUAAAAGAUUAUAUAUGACACCAACACCUUCAAUAACAAAAAUUAAAAGUUCUUUAAGGAUUUGUAGAAACUCUUUCUAGGAGUAUUAUGCUCAAAAAAGAAACAGAACAUGCUAUAAGAUGGAACAUGGGAUGGGAUGAAAAGUAAUCCAUUUAGAGGAGGAGAAUUGGAUUCAAUGUCUGAGACUUCAUAAGCAGUACACCCUCAGCAUGAGAAUGAGAAUGCACCCAAGUCGAGGAAACGAAGAAGAAAGGAGAUAGAAAUCAACAAUGACCUUGUAUCGUUCACACGAAUACGCUUCAACCCAUGAGAUGUCGUAUCAGAUUGGAGGGUUUGGCUCCACAAGCUUGUCGCAAUCAUUGAGAAAAAUAGGUGCAGCAGUUCACUGACCUUGUUCUUUACGCUUCAAAUCAAUAACCAUUUUGCUUCCUUCUCCGGAUCAAUUAAUUGUUGGGUUGACAUUGUUCCUAUGCAUGAAGAACAUAAUAAUUAUUCACAGUCAGAAGAAGAAAAAAAAUUGAAAAAAAAGAAAAGUUCGCUUAAUUAAUUUGUUGUAAUCUAUCACUAGUAAGUAAGUUGCACCUGAAUCAUCUUAAACCACUUUAUGCUACUAAAAAUCAGAAUAGACAAAAUUUAUUUGGCGUACCUUGCAGUCUCUGGACGCACUUCAACAUAACUCCAGUACGGUAUAGUUGGCAGUGAGGAGUGCGAGAUUCCAAUGCUGGAAAGCUACUUUCUUGUUCUUUAAUAAGAAGACUCUACAAUGACAUGACCUCAGAGAUGGUACACGUUAGAUUGCGGACACAGUUCUUGUCCCUUUCUCGAAGAUAGUGCCGAGAUGAAGCUAACCUUUUAUCUCAUCUCCUGGUUUCUUCUCUGCUGCUUCAUGCCACUGGGAGAUAUUACUGCAAUUAAAACCAAAAUUAAAAUUAAUAAUAAUAAUUCCUUCCAUUCAAACACUCAACCACUACAAUGUCUGUCUCAUUACCGAGAGAAUCGGGUGAGCACAAACUCCAACAUGUGUUGCUGUGGAUGGGGCAGAGACAAACUGAGGGACAGCAGAAUCAUCAUGCCACUUUGUAUCUUCGUUUUUCUAGCCUUACUGGGACUUCAGGUGUUCCCACGAAAGAGAGAGCUCAAUGCACCAUCUGAUUUCGAGGAAUCCGAUGCCUUGUUUGGCCUCAAGAAGAAAGGGCGAUGUGUGUUGCAGCAACCGAUGGAUGGGUACAUUGGGCGUGGAACCAUCACUGUCGGAGUAGAUAUCUGAGUAAAAGGACAUGCUACGAACACAGACACAGGAGGGUGACGAAGACAACUAGAGUCAUACAAUGCAAUGUAAAUAUUAUCCCUGAAUUCAACCAUCAAGAUUAAUUUUCCAGAGACCACUACGAAUAACGAGUGUGCACCAGCUUCAUUUAUUCGAUGCUUUAACAGAGAAAAACCGAUUACAAACAUAAUCCAAAAGCAUGGCAAGAGCUCACUAUUUCAUGGCCGCGGAAGGAUUCGGCGUUCCAGGCUUGGAGUUACUGUCCGAGACCCAGAGCACUGGAGCAGGAAAUCAAGUGCCUACCAAAAUACUCCCCCCGUUAGUACAAUUGAACCAAAAUUGCAGCAAUUUAAAUAAGCAUGCCUCAUUAUUGGAAUGAUAGCUAUUAUUACUUCAGCAGGCCAAAGCCCUUAAAACAUUACUAACAUUAGAUAUCUUCCUUUUCUUUUUCAUGAGCACAAGAAUCUAGCUUUACAUUGAUACGAUCAAAUCCAAACAGAAUUUGCCAAAAGCCUGAACACACUGGCAUCUUUGAAACCAUAUUUAAGGGAAUCAAAUCAGGAAUAACCAAAACUCCAUUUGAUAUGCAUCAGGAAAAGUACAAAAUGAGCCUUCCCCUGAAAUAUGUGGGAUGAAGGAUAUUUUUCUCAAACUGGCGGUCAAUGAUGGCAGCAAUAUGUGCACUUCGAAUUACUUGCAAACCACAUGACGCUUUACAGAAUAUUGCUGCCCUUCAUAUCAUAUAUCUUGCUAUUGAGGCUUUACCAGUCCCUUUCUCCAAGCAUGCUCCUUCAGCUUCCCUGAUGAUGGACCUGAGUAGGCAUGCCAACAAAAGACAUGCUUCUUGUGUGGGAUAUGCCUCGUCUGGUUUCACAAUGUCCAUUCUCCAGAGCAGCCAACUCAAGGCCAGUAAAAUUACGCAAAUAUAGCUUAGGCAUCUGAGCUGCUGGUUUGGACCCUCUGGUAGAAGAGCACAUAUGCAGCAGAUGACUUUAUGAUGUCCUCAGAUAUAGGAAGAACAUGCUGAUCAUCAAAAUCGUACCAACACCUCUCACCUUCAUGCUACAGAAGAAACUCAGUAUCAACAAAAUUAUUAAAUUUGCAUCUUUAAUGUUUAAAACGAAAGUAGAUUUUUUUUUAGAUGCAAUGAGAUCUGGGAAGUUCUCACACAAGACUGCAGAAAACCAAAUAUAAUGAAAUUGAAAAGUCAUAGGUGCUUAUCCACACAAGUGAUGUGUUUCAACUUUUUUGUUAUUUUGACAAAAACAGACAACAUAUUGUUCAAUGUGAAAUGCACAUUUUCAUCUUGUCUCUCAUCUAUUUUUCUACAUAAUAUUUCUUGAUCAAUUGUCAAACAAUGUUUCGUUUCAGUAAAUGUCAUCACAGCAUUAAAUCAAACACAAGAACUUUAACUGCAAAGAGAAUAAACAUGUAACUUACAUAAAUAUAUGCAGUGUAGUGACCACCUCCCAUGUUGCCAUAGUGGUUGCUGACUGCAUAUAAUCGAUAAACGGAUGACCCUCUGGACUUGCAGGCAAUAUAGCUUGAUAAAUCCAGGUCACAGAUUGGGAAGUCUACAAACAUCUCCAGCUUGUUAUUAAUGAACCUACUAUAUGAAAAUCUCUUUAGAUGAAUAAUGAGAACCUCUGGCAGCCUCCAAAGGUCCAACUUCUUACAAGCUUGCUGAUGUUUUUUGCAACUUGGACAAUACCUGCAAUGAAGUGGUCAAAUACCAUGGAUUUAUCUACCAGAAUAAAAAGAUAAAUUCUAGAACUAUGAUGAUGUUCAAAAUUUUCAGAUAUCAUGUACCUUAGCAAGUUCCACUCCAAACAACUUAAGAUUGACAUGCCAUCAGUCUUUUUUUUUUCUUCAUUAAUUCGUGUAACAUGUAUUUAUAUCCAAUGAGUUGCAAGACACUGAUAACCAUGCCUAAUUUUGAACAUAUAAAUUAUUCUCUCCCUGACUUUAGAAACUACAGCCUACUUCAACUUAGUUGUGACCGAACAAACUUCAAGGGUUUUUUAGCAGUCAUAUACUGAUAUAUUAAGCAUUUCUUAAGAUCUUUGCUCGAUGCAGAAGAUCUACUGGUAAGUUCUACCUACUUGAUAUGGAGUGAUUUGCAAAAAAAAAAAAGAUACUGAGAAAUAUACUGACCACAUAUCUUCUGGUCCGAGUGGUUCCUCCUUCAGAAAUGCUUCAAGACACGAAUAGAGGGAGACAGACUCCUGAGGCCGCUUAGCAAAAAGUCCAAACUUAUAAACCUCAGUUAAGGUAUUCAGAAGGUCUAUAUCAUACUGUCCCAUUGUUUUCUCAUGCCAACAGACAAGCACAUACAGCUUUCGCUGAUAACCUGUGAGGGAAAUUGAAUCAUCCAUUUCUAUCUUUGAAAGCAUCGCCUGACAGUUCUCAUCCGUGAGAUAAAACUGAAAUCCAUCAUGGAAGUAUUUUCCUUCUUCUGUCCUUUCAAAAUCCAGGAGAUGGGAGUCCUCGUCUAUCUUAGCAAUCUCAUUAAUAGAAUUACUGCUAUCUUGCUCAAUGUCGAAAGAAGAUUCUUUUGGAAUGAGAAAUGGAUUAAGGAGCUUCAAGAACAGGUCAACGAUAGUGGAUCCUGUGCUAGCAUUUGGUAGCCUAGCGAUAAGGGGGACGCCAAAUGACUUCCAACGUUUAUCUGUCGAGCUAUUGAAAUAUUGCCUGGAAAAGAAGUUUAUCACAAAACAGCAAUAAAAAUUAUUAUCCUAAAGUAAGUCUAUAAUAGUUAGAGAGAAUGAAUGGCAAUACAACAACCAAGAAGGCAGAAUUCAACAUGACCACACAUUUAACUGGACACAGCUUAAAGAACUACACAGAGAAUAAAGCAUGCCGAAGACCUAAAGUGCCAUACAGUAUCAGAUACACCAAAACGUGUGUAUUGACUGUGCAAUUUGAAGGGAUGCAUGAUUGUUGGCAUAUAAACCAUUUCCCAUGCUCCUUGCAGCAUAAAAUUGACAUUAGUCAAAUUACCUGUGCUGUCUUAAGAUUGUUGUUACAACAAAAGAACUGAUGUAGUACAACCAGCACUACUUGCCUCAUAACAGCCUUACUGGCCAUUCUAGCUCAGUAAUCCAGUGAAGUGAUAACUUAUGUGUCAAUUAAAUAUCUCAUAAGCUAAGCCCAAUCAAAAAAAAAAAAAUCUCAUAAUCAGCAAUGAAUUUGAAGUUUAAGCAACAACUAGAUCCAAACAAUAAAUCCAAUGUUUUGGACAUGUUCCAUAGGCAUCAGAUUAUUAAAAGACCUGGGACUUCACCAAUAUGAAGAAUUUAGACUGAUAUUCAACUUCAGGGUUACGGAAAUUGAAGUAAUGAAAGUGGCUUUUCACCAUCAUUAAAAAUUGUGAUACGUCAAUCUUACUCAUCCAUGCUUUGAUGCAUAAACACAAUCAGUGGAAGAUCUUCAGGAUCUUUUGAAAGCCUGUAUGCUGCAAGCUGAUCUCCAUCUCUAAUCAAGGAAAGUGAAUCAGAAGGGUCCUCAAGGAAUCGAAUAACUUGAUUGCAGAAAACCUGCAAAAUGUUUCUAUUGGCAGAUAAGUCAAACAGAAAUAUCAGAUAACUCUUAGCCAAGGCAUCAUUUCUGUUGCCAAAGCAGUAGAGUCAGUAAAAUGUUAAAUAACAUACCUCAGCAACUAACAAGCUCUCAUCAUGCUUCAGUGAACAAGCAAUGCUUAAAGCUUGAACUAAAUCCUUGCAGUUACCGGAUUUUGGCACAUUUACAGUAUAUGAAGAUGGCCUGCUGAGACCAUCAGUACUGAAGACGGUAACAGUCAUUGUCCGCACUGUUGUAGACGGAAGGGGCAAAGAUAAAUACAUGAAUGGGUCAAAUGUAACUGAUGAUUUAUUGCAAACUGGACAUACCAAAGUUGAUCUGUACUGACCCUGUAAAACAUCAACCAUUCCAAAUGUAAUAAAAGUAACUGAAAGAAAGCAUAAUGAUGAUGCAAGACAGUCCAAAUGCCUUACAUGAACAUAUAGUGAUCUAAAUCAUGCAACCUAAUUAUGCUUAAGUUUCACAAAACAUUUUCAUAGUUCAUACAGAAAAAUAAACAGGCAGCAAAAUUCAACUUAUUUAAAUGUUCUCCUCCUUAGUUUAUAACAUCAACCAUUCUCCUACAUUUCUUCCAUGCAGCUUACAUACCUCCUUCCUGGACACAAACCUUCCUCACAUUUAUUCAUAAAUUAAAAACCCUCCCUAUGUAAAUAACUUCCGCCCUAUAUCACUCCCAAAUGUCAAUUAUAGAAUCCUAGCCAAGGUCUUAACAAACAGAUUGAAACCUCUCCUUCAGAAAUUAAUUAGUCCUGAGCAGUCUUUCCUCCGUGGUAAAAAUAUUCAUGAUAAUAUUUUGAUUGCUCAAGAAGCUGCUCACACUAUGCAUUCCUCUGAAGGCAAGAACCCUCUUAUUCUUGUUAAAUUAGAUCUUGAAAAAACUUUCGACAGAUUAUCUUGGACUGCUAUUAUCAAUGUCCUUUCUUCCAUGAAUUUCCCUUCUUUAUUUAUCAAAUGGAUAACAGCUUGUAUUUCUUCACCCACAUUCUCGUCUUAUAAAUGGUGAAAUUUCUGAGACUUUUAUCAGUCAUUGUGGGGUCAGACAAGGUGAUCCAUUGUCACCUUAUAUAUACAUUUUAGUUGCUCAGAUUCUAACUCAGCUGUUAAAUCAAGCAACUAGAAACCGAAGUCUUACUCCCCUUAGUUUCAAUUAUGAUUGUAAAAUAAUUCAUAUUAUGUUUGUUGGUGACAUUUUACUCUGUUUUAGGGCUAAUCCUAAGUCUUGCACUACUAUUAAACGAGUCAUCAAAAUUUAUGAGGAAAUGACCAAUCAAAAAAUCAGUCAUUCUAAAUCUGCGAUUUAUUUUCCUAAAUCUACUCCAAGAUCCACUUAAAACCAGAUCUGUUCUAACCUUGGAUUUAAAGAAGGUUCAUUUCCUUUUAAGCAUAUAGGUGCAACUAUUGCUCCUAGAAGAAUUCCUCAAUCGACUCAUGUGGAAACUCUUAAUAAAAUCAAAGCUAAACUUGCAAUUUGGAAAUGUAAUCAUCUUUCACAAGCUGGCAGAUUGGUCUUAGUUAAAUCUGUUUCGACUUCUAUUCCUUUACACACUCUCAGUGUUACUUGGCUGCAAGAUAGUUUCCUCCAUAAGAUUCAAACACUAAUAAAUAAUCUUCUUUGGCAAAAUAAUCCUCAAACCAAAGGCCUCCAUCUUAUUAAUUGGAACACUGUCACCUCACAUAAAGACCAAGGUGGUCUUAACAUUCAGGACAUCACUUUUUUCAGAAUUACUUUACAAGCUACCAGAAUCCAGCGAUAUCUUAAUGACGAUGGUAGCUUAUGGAGUACUAUUCUUUACACUAAAUAUGGUAAUGUACACCUUUGGAACAUUCCUAAAUAUCAUCAAUCCAGUUGGAGUUUGAAACAGUUCACCCGAGCCAUGAAUGACCUUAAAGAAUUUUUUUUAUACAAAUAGGUAAUGAACAUUCUACAUGUUUUCUUACAUGUCCUUGGCAUUUUAAUAUACCUUUGAAUUGUAUUCCUACUUAACUCAAUAUUAUACUAAGAUUAAUGUGCUAAUCCAAUCUAAUAGCUGGAAUACCCAGUUGCUAUUGGAUAUGUGCACACCUAAUUUAAUUUCUGUCAUUAAGGCUAUAGAGAUUGCUCAGUUCCCUUGUGAGGAUAAAUGAAUUCGAAAGGAUCAUCAAUUAGGGAAAGCAACAGCAACAAGUGCAUAUCAUUUCUUGCACCCCAAACCUGAAUCAUGCUGGUAUGGUUGGCUCAGUCUUUGGCAGCUCCCAGUUAUUACUAGAGUUCAUACUUUUUGCUGGAAACUAUUGCAUCGACGUUUACGUAUUACUUACUGUUUUCUUCAUUUGCAUUUUAUUGUUCAAUAUUUGUUUGUUCCCUUUGCCUUUCUCACCCAAAAACCAUUGAUCAUCUAUUUUUUCAAUGCCAUUUUUCCACCAGAAUUUGGAAUUUUUGGGAAACAAACCUCAAACUCUCAUUCCAAUAUAAACCUACCUGGAACAUUGGUGAAUGAUUAAAGGAAGGCACUAUUCUAGGAAUGGGAAAGCUGCAAUAGCAAACCAGCCUUGGUUCAUUUGGAAUUUGUGGAAUGAUGCACACUUUAACAGGAAAAAGACUUACAUUAUGUGAGCCAGGGCUCAAGCUUUGGCUCAUUCUAUCUAUUAUGCUAGAAGCACUUUAUCUGAAGGGAAGAGACUGACUAACUCUAUAAGUUUCAAAUGGCAAAAACCAAAUGCAGGUUGGCAGAAGCUCAACACUAACGGUGCGUCCCUUUUGCAGGAUGGGGGCAUGGGGUUCAUCAUCAGAAAUCAUCUUGGAGACUGCCAGGCAGAAGGACAACAAUAUAUUCAAGGCAAAUCUGAUGACCAUGCAAUUAAAAUAGGUCUUAAGGUAGCAAUUUCCAGAAAAAUUACUCAUCUAACACUUGAAAGUGACUCUUCUUCCAUUGUCGAUCGGCUGAACAAAGAUAAAACUGUUCCUUAGGUUAUUACUCACACCAUCAAUGAUAUUAAAUAACUGCUGCAUCAGCUAACACUCAUACACCAUUAGCCACUGUUUUUGGGAAUGCAAACAAGCAGCAGAAUGGGCCGCUAAAUGUGCUAGAGUUAAUAAAAUCCGUUGUCUAUGGACUGAUUCAUUGUCUCUUCCACUGGAGCUCUCCUCCAUUCUGUAUAAAGACCUUCAUGGGUCUUAUUGUAGAACUAUGACAAGUUCAUAAAUUUUCGUUUUAUUGCCAAAGAAAAGCUAUUGGUUGUAUGGUAGAAUUGAGGAGAAAAGAUGUUCAGUUUUUCAGAAUCAUCAAGCAUGAUAUGUAAAGAAUUUUAAAUCACCAAAAUAAUGGAUACUAACAUGACAAAGGUCCACUAUAAUGGAGUCAUUACGAGCAAAAUGAUUACUCCAGUACUCAUCUGCUACUUCUUCAUCCGGACGUCCAGAUGCAUCCUUAAUUUCAAAAUAAGGUUUGUUUUUUAUACGGUUCAGAUCUUCGUGAAGCCCAUCUAACAGAAAGGCUAGAAGUUCCUGCAGAGAAACCAUGGAAGUCAACAAAUGAAUUAUCCCUUUCCAAUCAGUUCCAAUUUUUGGAAUAAAAGUUAGAGACUAAUUCUAGCACACACAUAACAGAUGAAAAACAUUACUCACUUGACAAUCAUGUUGGCUAAAUCCAUAGAAUUGUGGGGCAAAAGAAGCAAGCUUUGCUUUGAAAACAUGUGGAGCAAUCGGUGUGUUUUCUGGAGCCCACAGCUUCCUCAGCAGUUGUCCAAAUGCUGAAGCAAGCUCACCCUGGAAAAUGAGAGGCAAUACUUGUGACUCUCAAACAAAUGCUCUUUUAAUGCUGAAAAUGUGAAAGAAAAUAGAAAAAUAUUUUAAAAUAGAAAUAGAAAAAAGUGAGGAUUUUUCAGUUUCUUGUUCAUACAUAAAAUACGAGUGAAAAACAAUAGGUACAUAAUUUUUAUUCAAAAUCAACACCUUUUUGAGGAAAUAUAAUUGGAUGGUCAGAAGUUUCAGUACAGAAUUAGUAUUAGAUUUUCUUAUCUAAUGCAUCCUUGUAUGUGUAUAACCUCAUAUGGAUGCCCUGAACAAGUGUAUGAGGCCUCAAAAUGAAGUAUUAUUAUAUAUGUGAAAUCUGUUGCACAUAUGUGAUCUGCAUAAGUAUGAUAUGAUCACAUAUGUAGUUAACUACUCUGUAUUUUCUUCUUAUAAGUAUUACUUCAAGCAAAACAAGUUUCGUGAUUCUAUUAUCUAUGGUACAUUACUAUGAUACAUUUCAUAGACCUUCCUUCAUUUCUUAUUAGCAAUCAUAUAUGCUAUGUUGCCCUGCAUAUGCACCAUGUGAUAUCUUCACCCACAUAUUAUACAAUCACUUCCAAGACAUUUACCCUUCUCCCUUUUCUUGAAGAACCAAACAGGAGAAAAGAAUAUCCAUCCCUAUCAUACUUUUAUUUCUUUUCAUUUACUUGUGAACCAAAACAGUCCUAACUGGUUUUUGGACUAUAUACAUAAUAUCCUACUUGCACCAAGGCCAACAACUUCAUAAGAAAGGAUAUUUUUUUCACAAGCUCAUGAAGAUACUCAAAUAUUAAAAGAAAAUAGCCAUCAGAGUGUCAACCUACAUGCAGCCCUAGUGGGUUGUGAUGAUUUAUUUCUUUACUGUAGUCUCCAAGGAAAUAGCGAACAAGCUUUGGUGUGUGAGCUAAGCACUGGAUAGCACUGUUCAUAAAGCAUGUAUUCCCAAGAUUGUCCAAUCCUGUCAGACCUGUAGAAUUUGAUCUGAUGGAGCUUCCACUUAACUGAACAUCAAAGUCCAUACUUUCUAGGCUUCCAUUGCUCAUAAAUAAAACACCAUGAGAAGAUCCUAUCAUCUUUGAAUUUUGAACAGUUGGCCUAUCCUUUUUGCUUUCAUGAUUAUGAGCCACAGAUCCCGAUGAGGCAUAUAUUUGAAUCUCUAGAAGAAUCUGCAACAGAGCAAGAGGAAAGAUAUUAAGAAAUAUUUUCGUGGGAAUAAUUUUGACAUUUUGUGCAUAUUAUAUAAGAUUGCUUACCACAUGCUAUUAGAUAUUUAUUUAUACUGUGAUAUACAAAAAAUACCAUCUACUUGUUGUGGUAACCAUUAAUUAUAUAUCAUGUCAAAUCAUCAGGAGAAAAGCACCUUAGUUUAAGCCUUAAAGGUAAACCCCAUGUACACAUGACAAAAGUGUAAUUGACUAAAAGCUAAUAACUCCAGAGAACAUGCAUUUUUCAUCUGUCAUUAUAACACAUAAUCGAAACAUUUCAUGAAUAAAUAAGCACAUUUUUGUCCACCUUGAAUCACGUUUAUAAUUUUGGCAUAACUACUUUUCACAAAUGAUGACACCCUAUUAGUCCACAUAUUUGUCAAGCACUGAAGUGAUUUUUUUUUUGUUGUUGUAUAAAGAGCAGAUUGACCAGUAUGGUAGUAAUAGCUAAGAAUAAGUAGAUUUACCAGUUAAGACAUUUUUCAUUGAGUGACUUCACAUAUUACAUUACAGUUCUACUAAGAAGUCUUAACUACUUUUGGCAUAACUACUUUUCACAAAUGAUGACACCCUAAUCCCUAUUACUCCACAUAUUUGUAUAACACUGAAGUGAUUUUUUUUUGUUGCACAAAGAGCAGAUUGACCAAUAUGGUAGUAAUAGAUAAGAAUAAGUAGAUUCAUUUUUAACUGAGUGACUUCACAUAUUACAUUACAGUUCUACUAAGAAGUCGAUUUGGGCAUCAACAAUUUAUCAUCCCCAAAAAUUUGCUGUUAUAGACACAAAAAAAGUUGUUUCCUUUUAAUUUGCACUACACACAAAUUUAGAGGUUGCCCAGAAAUGAAGUUGUGUCUGGCCUUUGACAUGUUUGAAGCAAAUGGAGAACUACUUAGAGCAGUUUCUUGACUUCUUGUUUUAGGCAAAAAAGAUGAGCAUUAAAUAGUAAGUUAAGAAGUUAACACAAACUAGUAUAUAACCAACAGGAUUUCUAUGUAAAAGUAUGUUACAAGUGCAUAAAUACAGUUUGUCGAGAAACUCUCCAUUUUUAAAACUGAAGCAGAAAAACAUGUCCUACUUACCUCAUUUUCUAAUUGGUGUCGUCCAUCCUGAAGCAUCCCAUUCCACCCAUUCAUUAUGAUAAAAUUUAUUUGUCCAGAAAAAUCCCAAAUAUAGACCUAGUCCAGACAGAAGUUGAAGUGAACAAGGCAACUAUACGCGAUUACAAGAUUUUCUACUGGCAGAGUGCUAUCAGUAACUUACCACUUCAGAAUCAACAGGGAACAGCUUGCACGCCGUGUUGUAAUUCUCAUUAUUGUUGUCCUGAAUGACAAAUAUGUAUUAGAGCUUGCACAAAUUAGAUCAGUUACCUAUACAAUAAAAAACCAGCAAUAAGUAUCUUUCCAACUAUAGAGACCAAACUAGAUGUAAUCAUCCUGGAAUAAAGCUAAGACCUCAAUUAGUACAAGGGCCAUUAUGCUUUAAUUAUUUUCACCAAGUACAUUUCCUUUCUCUCUGUCGGUAUCUCUAGUUUUAAAGGUCUUCCUUGGAACAUAUAAAAAGCAACAUAUCUAAAUCAAUUGCUCAAAAUCUUUUAGGUCUAACUAACCCACUUGAAUAGUUUAGUCAUAGCAUCCCUUCUUCCAAUUUGAGGACUAAUAAUCAACAGAUUAGCUGAUGAAUCAACAUUGGUAAAGUAAUGUAUUCAAGCAAACUAGAAUUCUUUUAUAACAAGAAAAGGAUGGAAACAGUAAUGCAUAAAGAGGUCAAUAGAGCAUAAAAAUGUCACUGAAAGGCAUGGAAAAAAAUACAGAUUAUCGAUUAGCAACUUUUUUAAACUUCAUUUUAGUGUUUAGCACUAGUAACAUUACUCCGGCCUUGGACAAGCAACGCAUGUUGCUUUUAGGUCUAGCGAUACAAUGAAGGAUAUUGCUUGUUGAUAAUGACGAUGAUGAGUGUAUAAGACAUGUAGUAAAACGUUAAAAACAAAUGUCUCUCGUUCGCAUGUCUUGAUACUUUCGUUUUUGACAAAAUAAGACCUCACAUUUCUGUCUCUCUAGUCUUUCACCUCAGUGAUCUUAUUUUGUGAAACAAAUGGUGAUAGGUGCAGAGAGCUGCAAUAUUUUAUCUGAUAAGCAUCACACAGGACCAGACAUUUUGCAGUUGUGUUACCAGAAAUCUUGAAAUUCUUAGAUAUAUUGGGCAACAUUUCUUGCCAAAUUUGGAAAUCUAACAAAGACCAUUUUUAUCAGAAACAGAGUUCUCUCGGCGUAAAACUAGUUUCAUCUACAAACAAUUGAAAUGUUGCCAUACACAAACAUGGCAGGAUGGUCAAGAAAAAAUGGGGAUAUCAAGACAGACCUUCGUGCAGAUCUUUACAGUCAAAACAUUUGUUCCCUGGACAGCAGAAAUCCUGAGCAUCACAGGAUAGACAUCAUCUGCAGCAUCUUCUGACAAGGACGAGGUUCCACUGUUCUCCAUUUUCGAGCUGGGUUCAUUGUGCCUAGAGAGGAAACACGGGGGAUGGAGAGUAAGAGGCAAAGCCCGAAACAACAUAAUACGCCUAGAUCAACUUUAUCUAAUCUACCCCAACAACUCGUAGCCCUUUUUGUUCCGCCUUUAACAGCGUAAAGAAACGAUAACGACACAUCAACGAUCGUUGAGGAGGAAGGAAAUUAGGGAAAUCAAAUGAAGCAGCACCGCAUUCGAUCGAGCAUCAAGAAAAGACACAGGAUACCCUGCUUCCGUUCAAACCGAGCCUUGCAAUCUCACCAUCGGAUGGCCAACGACCACAUAUCGCCCCGGAUCAAAGCGUAGCAGCGGCCGGAACCCCCCUCGCCCUCCGCAACACCCCGGUUCAACUCGCCGUCGUCGCGACGCUGAAGGUCGAAGACGAGAUCGGAUCCAACGGAGGCGGCCGAGGAAGACGCGGCGGGCGCCGCUGCGUACGGGGUCCCCUCCGCCCCGUCGGCCGAUUCCCGAUCGGACGCUCGCGCCGCCCUCCACCAUCUGACGAGAAGCAAAUCGAGAGUGAGCGAUCGAAGCCACGGAAGGGGAAGGGAGGAAGGUACCCACGGAGGGGGGGGACUCACCGGUAAGGGACGAGGUAGACCGUGCCGUCCAUUGGCUACCAGGGGCAGAAGGAAGCGGUUUAGGGCGACGAAGAAGAGGCGAAGGGGGAUCGAAGUUGAAAGAUGAGGAUGAGAUAUGGAGUCAAAGAGAUGACACGAGGAGUGGAUUGCGAGCUUUGGAAGGGUACGGCGCCGGCGGUGCCGACCGAGCGAUGUAGUGGAGAGAAUGAAACAAAGAAACGGAAAUAAUUGCGAUAAAAGUUGGCUGCCACCAUUUGAUUAGUCGAUUUCACUGAACAUGUGAUAAUAAUUUUUAGUUGUGAAAAAUAUAUUUAUUUAUUUAUUUCUUGCGCGAUUUUCAUGUAAAAAAUCUUUUCUUUUUUUUUAAUCCGCCAAUCGAGCGUAAAGGGAAAUGAAAGAAGAGGGGACGAAAGCAAUAUAAAGCAACGAAGGAUAUUAAAAGAAAACGAUACUAAAUGAAAAAAAUAAUAAAAAUAAAAACUGAAGUUAGUUAUUUUUUAAAGAAAAAAAAAGAGUUUCUUUAAAGAAAAAUCAUUUUUUUUAUUUUUUUUUUAUAAAAAGAUGGGAGAGUAAAAGAGGCAAUAAAUGAGGAGUGAAUGGUUGGUUUCCGUUAACUGCUUGCUGCCAACCUUGAGCUGCUGCUGCAUUGUGUGUGUGGGAAAGCUUCGCUUUUCGUAGCUUGGAAAUGAUUUGAUAUCAUAAACAAGGAUGGAUGUUGAUCUUUGUCCUGAUGUAAUUUUCUUUCUCUUACUUAAAUUUGUUUAGAAUAAAAAAUGAACCCCCAAAACCAGGCAUUGAAAUGCAUGCAAAUACGAAAGAUGAAUGUGUAAGAUUACUUGGAUUGAAAAUAAAUUGGAAAAAUAUAUCGCUACAUACGCCAUUCAAUAAUGGGAAAUGACAAAUAUGAAUUCGGAUUGUAAUAUCAUGUCGGAUAUCUAAUGCACAUAUAUUUCGAUUAGUAGUAUAACCAAAAAAAGGGGGGGUGGGAGGGGAAACAAAUGAUCCCAAACAUGAAAUGUAAUGUAUGAAUCGACAAACUUGCUUCAAGAUCCAAAACCAUGAGAUUCGAACCCAUAAUGUCUGACCAGGUCAAAUCUUAGAACAGCCCAAGCACACCAAUGUUUUUGUAUUCAAUAUACGAGAAUCCAAUCUGGUUCGGUAAACCCAAUGCUGAAAUCAAAGUUGAAGCAUGUCAACUGCUUGUCCUCCUCUCCAAGGAUCUUCAUGAUCAGUGUGUAUGAACCCUGUGAUGUGGAAGAAGAUAAAAAGAAGGAAACAUGUUGUGUUGGUUGAUCCUUCUGAAUCCAUGUGUCACAAAACAAGUAACAGCGACAAAGAUUAAAGAUCAGAAAUAGGUAGGUAGGUAGGUUGACUUACUGGUGGAGUGAAUGAUGGGAGCGUCUGUUGAUGGGAUAGCCGGAAGUCACCGGUGGAAACUGGGCAAGACGUCUCUUUGCAGAGGUCAAGCGUCUCCUGGUGGAUGUGCAUGCCAAAAUACUUGACAUCGAUCACCAGUUUCCCUUUGUUUAUGUCACCCCCUGCAUCACAAUCUCAAAGCCUCGAUCAUGCCACUGCUGCAUUAGAGAGGAGCCUUUAUCUCAUAGAUCAUGUCUUUUUGUAUCUCAUCACCACGAGAACAGCACAGGAGAACGAGUAAAAACCAGUGUCGAGCUUACCAGUGAUUGCUGAUAUCUUGAAGGUAGCAGGUUGGCCUCGCUCAAUCGGGUUGGGAUUUAUCUCGACCCCCUUGACCGUCACCUGGUAGCUGGCUUUCUUGUCUGUAAAAUUAUUUGAGAGAUCACAAUCUAUCUCAAUUUAAGAGGAAUUCCUGAAAUAUGUCAUCCGAUCACACGGAACCAAACAGAUUCGUGAGCGUAGAUGAGGAAAUCUUUCUUCUUCUUCUCCCAAAAGAAAGAAAGGAGUAAUCGAUUUGGAAACAGUUUAAAUGGUGUAAGAAAGAAAGUGAGGCGAAGGCGAUCACCGCAAUACUCGAUCUGGUUGGUGUGGACGGGACAGGCAAGGAGAAGGCACGUAGCCGCCGUUACGACGCAGAAGAGAAGGAAGAACGACAUGAUGUUCGCGGUGCAGUUGUGUUCGAGAACGUAAGAGAUAUGAAGGUGACGACGAGAAGAGUAGUGUUCUUGUGGGGAACGAGGUCGUGAUGGAAUGGAAUCCUUCUUUAGCUUUGCUUGUAAUAGGCAAAAAGGUUUGCUACUGCCAACGUAGCCUCACAACAAAAGAAAUCCCAGCCAAAGAUUUGCUGUCCUUUCUCCACCUCCUCAGAUCUCUGUCGUGGUAGAUUGAGCUUUGCGUUUAUGAAUGGGAGUACACAAAACAAAGAUAUUAGUACGAUGGUGGGUCUUCUUCCAGAUUUUAUUGCCAUGGGAAGAGGGCAUACUACUUUGUGGGAUAAGAGGCUCUCGUGGCGAUCCCACAUAAGCCUUCGGAGUCCAAGACAUCACGGCUCAUCCUGAUGUAGCCGUCUUCUCCCCAACCUGCACCCCAUGAAUUCUUCACGAUCCAGAACAUGUCCUUAUCCGUGGUUCCAUAUCCGACCGCCAACACGCCAUGGUUGAGACUCGACCCACAGGGGCCGUCGAAGAUGCCAUGCGAGUAGAACUGGAAGCCGAAUCCGCCGGCGUCUAUUGCCACCGACACCGGCUGCUUCGCCACGGCCUCCAACAGGCUGUGCUCGCUCCUGGCGGUCACGGCUUUGUAGCCGGAAAUGGUGGAGACAUGGUCGUGGAGUUGGUUGCCUCUGCACUCUUCCUGGAAGCCUUUGUAAGGGUACUUGGACUCGGAAGUCAACCCAUGGUUGCUUCGGACGAACUCGAAGGCAUUUUGCAUGAACCCUCCACUGCAACCAUGGUUUUUCCCGUUGAUGUCACAGUCCACCAGCUCUUGCUCCGACAGCGGAAUCAGUUUGCCGGUCUUGAUGUAGGUGAUUCCCUCGAUCGCUGCCACCGCGGAGAAGGCCCAACAAGACCCUGCUCGCAUCAAGAACACCAUAAACACGAACAUCGACGAGUUCUACAGACGAGUUGUUGCAUAUCCUGAUGCUUACCGCAUUGACCUUGGUUCCUAACACCGGUGACGGCUCCCUUUUUCCUCCAAUCCAGGUGCUCGGGGACGUGACUUUUCAUGCUAUGCGAACUGUUCGACGAUAUGUCCACCGUUUCCACCUGAGACGACAGGUAGCCGGAGUUGAUUGCGGCAAAAUCCACAGCAUGACUUGUAUGCCGGUGAUGCAGUCGAUCACCUUUACAGGAGGAGGAGUAGUAGUCUGUGGGUCGUCGGUCAAGCACAUAUGCUUGGCUCUGAAUUCCUCGUUCGUCAUGUCCGCGAACCUGUUGUCAGUGAGCUUGUAGCCAUGGUCCUCGGCGUUGAACUUGCUGAUCUUUAGGAAGUUGGAUUGGUAGAUCUUGAAGCGCUGCUCCUUCUCCUUCUUGUCCUUGUAGGUGAGGCCAUGUCGAGCGAUCCAACCCUCGUACCGAUCUCUCACCGCGUCCCGGGAGACGGUGGAAGGUGGGCAGAGCGCGAAGAAGAGCGACAAGGCCAAGAAGCUGUUGAGGAGCUUGCCGUCGCCCAUGGCUGGCUCUGCGUUCACGUAAUGCUCUUGCGUCGAUCUGAUGAUAAAGCAAGCAUUCCUGGGGAAGCACAAAGUUCUCGUGGUCUGGGAGGUGAUUCCGCUCGCAGUUCAUGCAUCCGCAUAGCGAUGGAGCGUCGUGCGUCUCUCCCUCACCCAACCGCAACGGAUUGGCACAUUCAUUGCACGACAAAGAAAGAGGUGAUCUCUCUCUCCUCAGCACUCAUACAAGUAAUUGCUGCUGCAAUUACUGCAGCAUUGUGAUGGUGGCAUCUCUCCGCAUUGGAAGGCGAUCCUUAUAUUAUCUCUUUGUUCUUACGGUAACACAUCAAAUUAGACUUUUUAUCUCGGAAGAAGUAAGUCAAGACUUUGAUUGAUGAUUGGUAUAAUAACAAAAUUCACGAGUCAUAUCUAGUCCGAGAUGUAUUGAUUUAAUCUCACAACUUAAACAAGUCAUAUAUCCCUAAUUAGAUACAAUGAUAGAAGAAGUCAAUACAAUGACUUGGGUUAGGCUGAUGAUAAGGUUAGAUGUAAUCACCUCUAAUUUUAUGGUUUUCACUAAAAAUAUUAUUAUUAUUAUUAUUAUUAUUAUGUACCUCUUACUUAAUCAGUAUACAUUUAUUAAAAAUUUUAUUUCAACUGUUAAUACAUAUCUUCUACAUUUGACAUCUAAAGCACAACUUCAUUAAUCAAAAAAUAAAAACUUACAUUAUUAGAAAUCCUCUCACAUCUCUUUUCAUUUCAAUCUAUUUGCAGGUAGAUUCUCCUUUUUUUUCCUUUAAAUAAAUGAAAUAUAUUAUCAAUGUUUAAAAAAUAAUAAUAUCUCCUAAAAUUUUGAUUUUUGACGUAAAAGAAAAAGAAAAAAGAAAUAAAUUGUGAUGCAUGCUUUAGAUUCAAUUAGUUGUUUGAAUUUCAUAUCAUGAUAUGAAAAAUUAUACAAUGGUUUGCAUGAAUUUAGAUUAAUAAUUAACACUAAAUUAAUUGUUUGAAUCAUAUGACAUAAAAUUUGUAAACCCUAUUUAGUAAUUUUUCAGAAUGAUCAUAAUGUGGAUCAUUGAUUAGGGUCGAUAAUUAUUUUGAAUCAUGACAUUAAAAAAAAAAAUGGCCCCACCUUCAAUUGCCUAAUUGACAUGAGAGUGAUUUGGAGGGUGAGGUGACGUCCAGAGAAGUUUACCAUUUGCCCACAGAGAGGAUGAAGCUAUGGGAGCCUCCAAACCAAAUCUUAAAUCCAUGCACGUUAUCCCACUUCGCAAAGUCCAUCAACAGACCUUAUAAAUAGAUUUGAGUACGAUAAAGAUAUAAUUAAGAUGAUAAGAAGAGAUGGGAUGGGCAGCUUUAUAUAUAUAUAUAUAUAUAUAUAUAUAUAUAGUUCAUGCUUCAGCCCGUUGUUUCUUGGUCCUAAAGCGAGUCAGUCCUAUUCUGUGUGCAGUGCACCCCCUGGAUCACCGAUACCGUCCAACUCCUACCUGAUCUUAUCCUUGCAUCUUCACCUGUGCGUCCGUGGCUCGCUGCGAUAUAUAGUCUGCUUGCGCCACCGGCCACAAAGUAUUGGAGAAGCGAAAGAGAGAGUCAGAGAGAGAGAGAGAGAGCCAUGUCGAGCCUUGUCGACAUCUGGACGUUCGAGUUUGCGAAGCUGAGGGAGAAGAAGGCUGGAGGCGGUGCUACGACAGCAGACCCUCGUCGUCCGUGGCUAAGACGAGAGGAGCAGGAGGAUGUUGCCGGAGACAAGGGAGCGAUCAAGAGCGUGGCCUUCUCGGAAGCCACCGUUUGGAUGCUCAUGAACCGGUUCGCACCCUGCUGAGCAUGCGCAGGCUCUUCAACCGUGUGUAAUAGCAGCGUGGAUUUAGGAUCGUAGUUAGGGGUAUAUGUCAUUGCAUACGGAAAGAUGUGGAUUUGGAAUGCUAAUAAAUUAGAGAGCUAAUUGGAAUCUGGAGUUCGUGCAGUAUAAGAUCGUUAGAUGGGCAUAUUGCUGUGUCGAUUCUUUGAGGUUGCACAGAAGAGGAGCUGCAACACAAACUCCUUCCAAGUCUAACACGACGAUUAAGCCACUUGAAGAACCAGAAACAUACACCUCACCUGACAAAAACAUGAUCGUCGGAAGUUCCGCUGCCGAUAUAAGCUUUUGGUUGGCUCUAUAUAUCACAAUAAUAAAAGAGAGAAGGAUAAUUCUGUGGGUGCCUGCAAUGAUCUUAUCAGUGGAAAAUGACCCCACCGUACCAGAGAGACAUCAGCACCUGCAGCAUCUCAAACUGAUCUUGUCAUCACACACAGGUCAACAUAGAAGACACUUCCGUGACGUGAUUACAGUUUUGGCCAUGACUUGCGCAUGCCAAUCUUGGCGCUCGUCGAGGUCUGCUUUCCCACCGAACUUGUCUACUCUUCCUCGUCUUCUUGUUCUCGGAGAGAGUAAUCAUGCUGCAAUGCAACGACUAUUGGUUCUCUGAAACUGGCAUUUACCAACCAUACUAUAUCUUACCAAAUGAAUGAAAACUCCUGCAGCAGUCAUAUCCAUCUGUGUCCUCAGUUUGUGAUUGAAAUCACCUUUUGGAAAUAUAUCAAAAUAUGACAUAUUUUGACCCAAUCACCAGCAAACACAAUAAUGAGAUAUAAUACGAAAUAAUCUUGGUAUAUGAACAUAAUACAUAGCGAAAUUAAAUUAAAUUAUAAUCAAAUAGAACACCAAAAUAUACGUAGAAAAACUUCGUAAAAAUCACGGGACAAACUAGAAAUAAUCUACUAUAAUAAUAAUAAAUAUACAAAUCUCAAUCUCUUGCCCAAAACUCUAGCAACAAUCACAAGAGAAUAACUGGGAUAUAAGGAUCACGUCACUGUGCUCAAUAUGUAAAUCCUCCCUAAUUCUUCCCAAGUAAUCAAAGUAAGAAUCUACUGUAGAUUUGAUCUAACCUGAGAUGAGAACACUGUUGGAUGAUUGAGAACAAUCUCUCUGUGUUGUCCUUGUUUUCUUCCCUUUCUUUCUCCUUGGAUUUCUGUCUUUUUCUCCUCCUUUUUAGUGUUGCAAGGAUCACCACGUUGUUGCAGUUUUUAUCCAAAAAAUGCAACCUCUUGCCUCUCAAAACACAGCCACCACACCCCCCUUAUAUUGAUCUAGGGUUAGGUCAAAGGGUGUGUGCUAUGGGCUGAUAAAGCCCACCAUGGGCUGAACCCACUAUAGGCCGUCAGCCCAAUACGCAACGCCACACGCUGCCAGAACCACGAGGUGCACAUCACGUCAAGUUCGUACUGAUACACUAUGCAACUUGACCAACCCAAGAGCUCGGGGCAAUGUCGUCUGCUUUUGGGACAGUGUCAUUUGACGCCACAAGCACCCCUGAGGAUGCCAUCUCAUCAUAAGUUGUCCCGCCCCCACAAGGUCAGCAGCCACGCCGAACCGAGGGGCAACCAACUCUCGCACAUAGGUAUAAAUACCCCCAUCCGAUCCCAAGGAAGGGGAAGGGAAAAAAGGAAAAAACAGGGGAAUCCGAACUAAACUGACUUGCUCGUCGGAGGGGCCAAAGUUGGAAGAUACCCGACGAAGGCCGUUUUGCAAGAAGGUGAUCGCCACUGAGCAGCGGGCGUCUUCACCUCGAAAUCAUCAUCCAGUGUGUAGAGGAGGGUGGACCAGCGGAUCGUGUCCCAACCAGCACCAGCCUGCACCUCCCAUCUCAAGGGUGAGCCCACGAAGAAAGAUUGCCACUACCCCAGGGACGAAAGGACACAUCUCGUCAUAAAUGACACUCAAGUCGGUUGGCCUUGGAGUGCUAACCCCUAGCCGCUCGCGAGGACUCAACCGACCCUUUCGGCUCAAUCCUCGCCCAAAGCGCUCGAGAAGCGUAGCCACCUCAUCAUCCCACUCAUUCCACUAGAAGUUCCCAACAUCGGCCUGCGGACCAAAUCGUGUUGAAUCAUCAGCCACGGUAUCUUUGUUCACUAACAUAUUGGCGCUAGAAUGAGGGCCCAUGUCAUAGGAACAGCUCGCAGGAACUCACCCCGGGAGGGAACCCCCGACCGACCUCCCUUCCGCUGAGCCAGAAAGUCAAGCCCUCCCCGCCCCUGCGGACGGAAGGAUACCGGCUUCGAUACCUAAUCGCUAUUGGCGUUUGUUCAAUGACCCGGGACUGUUGCCCCCUGGGCUCGCCCCAGGGCCCUCGGCCGUGACACCCGAGCCAUUCCUCAGCCUAACCAAGCAAGUGCAGACAAUGGCGGGCAUGAUGUAGAUGCUCGCCCCGAUUAUUCCUCAAAUCGUCCAACUAGCAACGCCCCCGACCGAUCCGGCCUGGCAACCCCCGAAUGGGGAGCAGCUUGGGAUCAGAGAGGCCUCGGGGUGAGCGACGGACCCGAGGGGUCCUCCCAAGCAAAACGCACUUGUAUCCGACUGAGCCACGUUGUCUUAUCUGGAGCCUGACACCAUAUCGUCCGACUCAACGGAUGACUCAUUUAGAGCCCAGUUGUCCCGAGUUAAUCAGCGCCUGGACGUGUUCUAGCGCGAGCUUCGGAGGUCGCAGAGUGAGUCCAGCGAGGGCGCUAUGGGCGGGUCCCCCUUCACCCAGGAAGUAUAGGACAAACUUGUGCCCCUCAACUUCAGGCUCCCGACAUUGGAAACAUAUGACGGAGGCUCCGAUCCCAUGGAGCACGUCUCUAUAUUCUGGGCCCAGAUGGCCCUCUAUGGUGCCCCCGAUGUGCUGAUGUGCCAAGCAUUUCCGACCACUUUGCAGAGGCGGGCACGGAUGUGGUUCAGUCGGUUAUCCCAAGCUUCAGUUUUGUCCUUCGACCAGCUUACCGAGGAAUUUGAGCAAAACUUCCUUGCCAGCACGUAGCCCAGGCCUUCCAUGGCCACCUUGCUUGCACUAUCUCAGCAUGAGGACGAGUCGUUCUCUCAGUUCGUGGCACUAUUCGCCAUCGAGAUCCGGGGUUUUCCGGAUGCUCACCCUUCUCUAAUCUUGCAAGCCUUUCUGAUGGGUCUAAAGCCUUCGAGGUUCUUUUGGUCAUUGAUCGAGAAACCGCCAGCGAUCAUCUUUGAAAUGCUCCAACGUGCCAACCAGUACAUCGUCGUCGAGGCUCUAGUGGUGGGGAGGCACAUGGAGGGCAAGAAGCCAAGGAUGGAGCUGUCUCGAGGAACGACCUUGGCGGUGCCGACACCUCCCCACUGAGGGCUCAACCGACAAGAGCUACCGCUCCCAAGGCCCCCACCUCUUCCCUUAAAUGCAUCCCACACCAAGAUCUUCCUCCAGAUCAAGGAGAUGGGUCUCAUGCAGCAACCUCACCCCAUGAAGGCCGCCCGCAGAGAUCAAUCUAAAUAUUGUAGGUUCCACCGGGACUAUGGUCAUGACACGGAGGACUGCCACGACCUCCGGAAUCAAAUAGAGGCACUGAUCCGUAGAGGCCACCUUGGACACUACCUCAAAUCCCGGGAGGUGACUCCACGACCCAAAGGACCCCCCGAGAGAUAGAUCAACGUCAUCUCUGGUGGGCCAACAGUCGACGGAAGUAGCACGGCAGCAAGAAAGGCUUACGCGCGCAGCACAUUAGAGAAGCAUACCCGGCCUGAGCACGAGCCUAAAAUUACCUUUGGGGUAGGAGAGGUCGAGCGCUCCCACCACAUCGACGCUCUGGUAAUCUCCAUCUAAAUCGCCAAUGCCCAAGUUAAGAGGGUGAUGGUCGACACCGGGAGUUCCGGCGAUGUCCUCUACUUCGAUGCCUUCAACAGGCUCGGCUUGACCCAAGGAGAUCUUACCCUUGUGGCAUCAACUCUUAUAGGGUUCACUAGGGAUUCCAUCUCCUCGCUCGGGACCACAAUGCUCCCCAUCACCAUCGGGGAGGAACCGAGGGUAAAAAUGGUAAUGACCACCUUCAUGGUAGUCGACUUGCCCUCGGUCUAUAAUGUCAUUCUCGGCCGCCCGACCCUCAACAAGAUCCAGGCGGUGGUCUCCACCUAUCACAGAACCAUCAAGUUCCCAACCUCGGCUGGGGUUGGGGAGGCCCGGAGCGACCCGAGGGAGUCGAAGUGAUGCUACCUCACCGCAGUUGCUCUCCUAGCGAAGCAGCACCCAACCCCAGUUUCUGAUCCCCGUGAAGCACCCGUCCCACCAGUGACACUGGAGCCCCCGGAGCCGCUUAUCGAGGUACCCACUGAAGCGGAGCCGACCAGACUGUCAAGGUCGGGACCACGCUCCUCGAAGCGGACCAGCUCCACCUUAUCAACUUCCUAAGGAAGAAUGCUAACCUAUUUGUGUGGUCCCUUGAAGAGAUGAUUGGGAUCAACUCAGAGGUGGUGCAACACCGGCUUAACGUCAACCCUGAGGCGCGACCGGUAAAACAGAAACUAAGGAGGUUCACCCCCGACCAACAAAAGGUGAUCCGAGACGAGGUCAAUUGCCUUAUAAAGGCCGGGUUCAUCACCGAGGUUAAAUACCCCUAGUGGUUGUCUAAUAUAGUCCUCGUUAAGAAGCCUAAUGGAAGUUGGAGAAUAUGUAUUGAUUACACCGAUCUCAACCGGGCAUGUCCCAAGGACUACUAUCCACUUCUCAGAAUAGACCAGUUAGUCGAUGCCACCAUAGGCUAUAAACACCUUACGUUCCUAGAUGCAUUCUUCGGCUACAACCAAAUCCGGAUGGCGACCCAAGACCUAGAAGACACUGCCUUCGUCACUAACCAAGGGGCGUAUUGUUACAAGGUGAUGCCCUUUGGCUUAAAGAAUGUUGGUGCGACCUACCAAAGAAUGGUUGAUAAACUUUUCAAACACUAGCUCGGGAGGAACAUGGAGGUGUACAUAGAUGACAUGAUUGUAAAAAGCAAGGUUGUAGGGACACAUUUGGCUGACCUGGCAGAAAUGUUCCAAACGCUCAAGUAGUUCAACAUGCGUCUGAACCCGGCAAAGUGUGUCUUCGGGGUCAGCUCGGGGAAGUUCCUCGGCUUCAUCAUUCACUAACGGGGAAUAUAUGCCAACCCAUAGAAGGUGCACACCAUUACCGAGAUGCACUCCCCCCGCUCGGCCAAAGAGGUACAGCGACUUGCCGGGAGGUUGGCAGUGCUCAGCAAGUUCGUGUUGCGUUCAGGCGACAAGUGCCUCCCCUUCUUCCGGGUUCUGUGACGGGCCGGCGACUUCACUUGGUCCCCAGAGUGCAAAGAGGCCUUUGAAAAAUUGAGGAGUGCGUCGCCCGCUUGCCACGACUCACUUCGCCUGAGCCGGGCGAGACCCUCAACCUUUACCUAGUGGCCUUGGCAUAGGUCGUCAGCUCGGUGUUAGUUUGGGAGGCACCACCGGUGUAGCAGCUAGUGCAUUACAUCAGCCAUUUCCUUGGAGGGCCCGAGACACGAUACUCCCCGAUUGAGAAGCUAGCUCUCACCCUUAUCAUGACGGCCCGAAAGUUGCGACCCUACUUCCAAGCCCAUACGAUCAAAGUAAUCACCAACCAACCGCUGCGACAGACCCUUUCCAACUUUGACACAUCGGGUCAUGUGCUGCGAUGGUCGGUCGAGCUCAGCGAAUUUGACAUUCAGUACUUCCCCAGGACCACCAUUAAAGCUCAGGUACUGGCCGAUUUUAUCUCUGAGCUAGCACCCGAGGACCAGGCUGCAGGGCAGCAAAGCAGCCAGGGCACGUGGACGCUGCACGUAGAUGGCUCAUCCACCUCCGAGGGGGCCGGGGUCGGGAUUAUCCUCAGGGACCUGUCAGGAGAAACCUACGAAAGAUCUCUCCAAUUGAAGUUCCGAGCCACUAAUAUUGAAGCUGAGUACGAGGCGCUACUCUAUGGUCUACACCUCACUCUAGAGUUGCACGUAGACAAUCUUGAAGUCUUCAGCGACUCCCAACUGGUGACGGGACACAUCAAUAGGAGCUACGAAGCCCGAGACCCAACGAUGGUAUCAUAUCUAGUGGAGGUAAAGCGACUCGUCCACUGUUUUAAUCGCCUUUCAAUCACCAGAAUACCUCGGACACAUAACGAGCAAGUCAACGCGCUGGCCAAGUUAGCCUCCACAUGCACCCCUGCGUUGGUCCCAACCACGGAGUUUGUGCCAGCCCCGACAAUAGCGACUCACGAGGUUAUCGAAACGAAUCUACCCCCGAAUUGGAUAGAGGAGAUCCUCCGCUAUAAAGCGGGCGGGAAAGAACCCGACGAUCCGACGACUGCGAGGCAAUUAAGGUGAGCCCAAGCUUGGUACUACGUCAUCGGCGGAAGAUUGUACCGAAGGGCUUUCUCUCAACCCCUCCUCCGCUGCCUCGCGCCGUCGGAGGCUGCAACCGUCCUCGCUAAGCUCCAUGAGGGGAUUUGUGGGUAGCACGUCGGGGGACAAACCUUGUCCUUCAAGACCCUCCGGCAAGGGUACUAUUGGCCGACCAUGCACUAGGAUGCUGUAUCUUACGUACAACAGUGCCCGUAGUGCUAGCGACACGCUUGACUGCCACGCCAGCCGGUAGUUCCCCCGACUCCGAUAGAUGUGGCCUAGCCCUUUGCCCAAUGGGGGCUUGAUCUCCUCGGGCCUUUCCCUCCGGCGUCAGAUCAGCGACGCUUCCUCAUACUCGGGGUCGACUACUUUACGAACUGGGUCGAAGCCAAACCCUUGCCCUCCAUCACCGAGAAGCACGUCCAGAAUUUCACAUAGAAGAACAUCAUCACCCGGUUCGGGAUCCCGAAGGCUAUCAUCGCCGACAUCGGGACUUAGUUCAACAACACUAAAUUCAAGGCUUAUUGCCAGUCAUACGGAAUCCAGUUGAAGUUCAGCUCGGUCGCACACCCCCAAACCAACGGUCAGACCGAGGUGAUGAAUCGAGCAAUUCUGGAAGGCCUCAAGAGGAGAAUCUCGGGCGCGCAUGGGGCCUAGGUGGAUGAGCUCCCCAACGUCCUGUGGGCAAUGUGAACAACUCCCAAAACCGCCUCGGGGGAGUCCCCGUUCAGCCUGGCGUUCUGGACCGAGGCGGUUCUUUCGCCCGAGAUGGUAUUCUCGACCUUACGCACCUCCAACUAUGAGUGAGGGUACUCAGAAGAGGGACUGCAGGCUAACCUGGAUCUCCUUGAGGAGAGAAGAGCCAAGGCACACCUGCGCGCCCUAGCCUACAAGAAGGCGACCGUUCGGAUAUACAACCGAAGGGUCCGUCCGCGAUCGAUCUAGAUCGGUGACCUUAUUGUCCGAAGAGCAGAAGUAAGCGACCCGACCCGAGCAAGGGGAAAACUUGCACCCAACUCGAAAGGCUCAUAUCGAGUCUACGACAUGGUAUGAGAAAGAACCUACCAACUCGAAACUAUGGAUGUAAGUCACCUCUCGAGAACAUGGAAUGCCAUGAACCUAAAAAAAUUCUACCCUUGAGGGGGGAAGGGUUGGUCGGGACACAGGGAAGAUGUGGGAGCCCGUGCAUCCACGAUUAGGGAGAAGAGUAAGCGGUACAUGUAGCGGUUGGCUGACGUGGCCCCAAGCUCGACCAGACAAAAAAAAAAAGGUGGGGGAAAGGAAAACAAGGCUCAAAAGCUGAGGGGGUGCAGCCCUUAACUCGAGGGAGGAGUCACUGACCUGUCAUCGAAGGGGACAUUCGUCGGCAUGUCGACAUCCUGGUCUAUCAGGUUAUCAAUAAACGGGUCCGAAUCCAGGUCCAGGUCCGAGUAUUUUGCCCGGAAACGAGCACAGGCCACCCGACGUCAUGCUUGAUUCCUGCCCGGGUCGCUCUAGAUCACUCCCGACUAGUGACCCAUUAGUGCUCCAAGCUCGAUUCCUGCCCGGGUCGCCCCAGAUCGCGCCCGAUUGGCGACCCGUCAACGAUCCGGGCUCGAUUCCUGCCCGGGUCGCCCCAGAUCGCUCCCGACUGGCGACCCAUCAGCACCCCAAGCUUGAUUCCUGCCCAGGUCACUGCAGAUCGCUCCUGACUAGUGAGCCGUCAGCGCCCCAAGCUCGAUUCCUGCCCGGGUCACUCCAGAUCGCUCCCGACUGGCAACCCGUCAGUGCCCCAAGCUCGAUUCCUACCCGAGUUGCUCCAGAUUGCUCCCGACUAGCGACCCGCUAGAUUCAAUUCGGAGCCGAGCUCACAAACUCGAUCCCCAUACUCAAUUCGAGCCAAGCUCACAAACUCGGUCCCGAGACUCAAUUCGGAGUCGAGCUCACAAACUCGGUCCCCAGACUCAAUUCGGAGCCGAGCUCACAAACUCGGUCCCCAGACUCAAUUUAGAGCCGAGCUCACAAACUCGGUUCCCUGACUCAAUUCGAAGUCGAGCUCAUAAACUCGGUCCCCAUACUCAAUUUAGAGCCGAGCUCACAAAUUCGAUCCCCAUAUUCAAAUCGGAGCAGGAUCUACUCGCUCAACCCCCACAUCCAGCUUCCGACCAAAGUGUGCUAAAUCACUCUCGGUUUGCAACCGGUCGACAUUAAAACUCGAGCCCAGACAUAGGUGCUUUGCCCACCGGCCUGAUCCCAACGAUCGAGCCACACCGUGCGGCUAAGUCACAUUCCGCUAUCUGAGUCGCCUCACGAUGACCUCGACUCGUCGACAUCGACGCCUCGGUUUCGCUUCGUCACGCCCCUACCAUGCAAUUAGCAAGGUCGCUCCUACCCACACUAUGGGGUCCUACCCCCCUAAAACACCCUCAACGAGUCAACCCACUUCUCCCAUGGAGAUGCCCAGUACGAUCACGUCCCUCAGCCCCAGGCAUGCCACCCGGUCCGUUGGGGAUCCGUCGGCACACCCCAGGAGGGGGGGGGGGGGGGGGGGGAGGGGGAGGGGAAGUGGGGGGAGGAGAGAAGUGAUAUGACAUAUUUUGACCCUAGAUGAAUCACCAACAAACAUCACCAACCGACAACCAUGAACGCAACGCCACACGUCGCCAGAACCACGGGGCGCAUGCCACGUCAAGUUCGAUACUGAUACACUAUGCGACUUGACCAACCCAAGAGCUCAGGGCGGUGCUGUCUGCUUUUGGGACAGUGUCGUUUGACGCCACAAGCACCCCCCGAGGACGCCAUCUCGUCAGAAGUUGUCCCGCCCCCACAAGGUCAGCGGCCACGCCGAAUCGAGGGGCAAUCAACUCUCACACUCGGGUAUAAAUACCCUCGUCCGAUCCCAAGGAAGGGGAAGGGAAAAAACGGGGGAAUUCGAACCAAACUGACUUGCUCGUCGGAAGGGCCAAAGUCGGGAGAUACUCGACGAAGGCCGUUUUGCAAGAAGGUGAUCGCCACUGAGCAACGGGCGUCUUCACCCCGAAGUCGUCAUCCAGUGCGUAGAGGAGGGUGGACCAGCGGAUCGGGUCCCAACCAACGCCAGCCUGCACCUCCCAUCUCAAGGGCACACUCACGAAGAAAGAUUACCAACUACCCCGGGGACGAAAUGACACAUCUCAUCAUAAACAACACUCAAGUCGACUGGCCUUGGAGUGCUAACCCCCGGCCGCUUGCAAGGACUCAGCCGACCCUUCCAGCUCAAUCUUCGCCUGAAGCACUUGAAAAGUUCCGAGGACUUAGCUUAGCCACCUCAUCAUCCUACUCAUUCCACCAAAAGUUUUUGAUGUCAGCCUACGGACCUAAUUGACUCGACCUAAUCGUGCUGACUCGCCAGCCACACAGAAUCUUUGUUGACUAACAAACCUGAAUCUGCGUAGAAGUUGGGAGAUGCUGAUCCUUUCUAGUUUCUCCACACUCCAGUUGCAACGUCUUUAAUCAACAGAAAGAAGAGUUGACUGUUACAUGUUGGAUAAGAAGAGGUCCCGUCGCCCAUGGGUCAACGCCGCCCUACUUGUCUGCAUUAAUGCUCUGAUGGAUUCGGCUGACCAGCUCAAACGCAAGGUGUUGUUCUCCGUGCCACCGGUAUCGGAACGACAAAGGUGAAUGGAUCUGGUGGCGUGAUGCCUAACUGAUUCCCAGACCACUAACAAUGUCACCAUGGCUUUCAAUGAUAUUUCGUGCCCGAAAAGAAUAUGAGUAGAAUGCCAAUAAUGGAUGUCUCUGUGCUCGAUCAUCUUUCUUGGUCAUCCAUAAAAAAAUGUGCACGUAGAAGACUUGUUUGUGCGCUCUGUAUUCAACUCCGGUCAGCAAUUACGCCGACCACAAGUCCUCGUUACGUGUACGUCAAGUCUACACAGAUCUCUGUGGUGUGGUUCUUUGGAGUCUUUGCUGGUUUUUCUAGUCUCCUCUGCUGAGGAUGGACGGGCGAGGAAGAAGAACCUGCACACUUGCCAUGUUCAACUUGGAUCUCACGCGGAGUUCAUGGUGGUGAUGCCUCGUGGCCUAAAUCUUCCCUUCUCCUUUGUUGGGUUCGGAUAUUUGUGUCGAAUGGAGCCGACAGUCCUGUAGAAAUCCACCGCACUCUGCUUGUCUUGUUGUCAGUCGACGUGGUCGGCUUGAAUCGACAGGAUGCACUGAACGAUCUAAGCUAACCACCACUCAACAAGAUCCACUUGUAAGGUCUUCCCUUGUUGUCAGAUGGCGACACCAUGAACCGGAAAGGUUCUCCCCUGCGCGAGUCAGUCAACCUGGAAAGCAGAGUCCAAAUAGCAACUGCGACGCUAUGGUGGAUGAUGAUGAUGAUUCAAAGUACAGAAACAAAGAUUAGUAGAUUAAUGACUUGAAGCCACGGGAAUUCAAGCCUUAUUAAAUCCAUUUCCCAGUCGCUGCGGCAAUUCUUCUGCGUCACAGGUUGGACUGGUGGCUCGGAUAAGAAGACGACCAAAUGGUUGAAGAUUAGAGAGCACAGAUUCAAGUCAAUUUGAUGCAGCGUUUUGAGGUUUAGGAUCAGUGCCAUGAGAUUUUGCUUGCCUUGUGAUGAUUGGAAGACCAGUCUCUCCUUGAGGAUUGUGGUUUCGAUGCUGCAAGCAUGUGGGUUCGUCCCUGUGAUUGGGCUGGAGCGCAGCUGAAACGAGGAGGAGAGACAGAGAUGCUUCGUUUCCAGCGAACGCGCCACCGUCUUCUCUUGUUGUCCUUCUUGGUCUUCCUCGCGGACACGGUGGUUGCCGUCGGAUUGGUUGUCUCUGCACAAGCAGCCAAGGACUGCGAACGAGCCUGCGGCUCCUACGCGGCCCCGUAUCCCUUCGGCUUCUCCGAUGGAUGCCCCAUCCACCUCGGCUGUUCCAAUCUCCCGAAACCCACGAUCCGGAUCGGAGAAUUCACGGUGCGGAACAUCACAGACGACGGCCUCCUGGUCGACGUCCCACCGGCUUGCAACCGCUCCGUCCACGCUGCCAGGAGCCUCUUCGGCAACAACUACGCGUUGAGCCGGAGGAACGGACUGUUUCUCCGCAACUGCACGCCCACGGCCGGCAAGAGCUUGACAGAGAGAUGCAGCGUCGACACCAUCCUGAUCGACGGCAGCUGCGGGCCAGUGUAUGACAACGCCACCUGCCUCUACAAUGCGACCAAGGAAGGUUUCUUCAACGCCGACAGCAUCGCCGCCUCCGGCUGCGGAUUCCUCUUCACGACCAUCGGCAUCAACGACCCGGGCGGCGUCUCGGUGCCGUCGCUGGACCUCAGCACGGCGGAGCUGGCGUGGUGGCUCGAGGGAACGUGUCGAUGCGCGGCCGACGCGAAUUGCACGACCGUUACAUCCCCGGUGACCCAUCGGCCGGGAUUCCGGUGCGGCUGCUCGGAGGGGUUCCAAGGGGACGGGUUCAUCGACGGCACAGGUUGCCGAAGAGGUUAGGCCUUUCCUUCUAUCUCCAUUUUCCUUUGAACCGAUACUUUUUGGACUUGAAUUGUGAUUGUUCCUUUUGGGUUCACUCUUUCCAGUGUCUGAUCCCAAUCAAAAAUGCAAUCCAACAAAGUACAUGACAGGUGGCUGCGGUGGAACCACCAGCAGAUAUGGUUUUCUCGUUGGAGGUAUUCUUCCUGCUAUGUGGUUGAUCAAAUGACCAGCAGAAAUUUGAUGUUCUUGCCGACCAUGACUGCGGUGCUAAGAUGAUCGAUCAUCUUGUUUCAGGCAUCAUAGCUGGAGCCUCUGCAAUGGCUGCCUUGGCUGCCGUUUGCUGGUGGAUCAAACGUCACUCCUCCUUGACGAGGAAGCGGAAGAGCAUGAGACGCCUGCUCUCCGAGGCAUCGUGCGCCGUUCCCCUCUACUCCUACAAGGACAUGGAGAAGGCCACCGACGGCUUCUCGGCGGACCACAUCCUGGGCACCGGUGCUUUCGGCACCGUGUACGCCGGCAUGUUCAGCCACGACAGGCUCGUGGCGGUGAAGAAGAUCAAGAACCUUAACAACGACAGCAUCGAGCAGGUGAUGAACGAGAUCAGGCUGCUCUCCUCGGUGAGCCACCCCAACCUCGUCCGCCUCCUGGGAUGCUGCGUGGAGCAAAGAGAGCAGAUCCUCGUGUACGAGUACAUGCCCCACGGCACCUUGGCACAGCACCUACAGCGGGUGCGGGGGCCGGUGCUGCCUUGGACCGUUCGCCUCACCAUCGCCGCCGAGACCGCUAAGGCCAUCGCCUACCUCCACUCGGCCGUCCAUCCUCCCAUCUACCACCGGGAUAUCAAGUCCAGCAACAUACUGCUGGAUCACAGAUUCAACCCCAAGGUUGCAGACUUCGGCCUGUCGAGGAUGGGCAUGACGGAGAUGUCGCACAUCUCGACGGCGCCGCAGGGGACCCCCGGCUACUUGGACCCGCAGUACCACCAGAACUUCCAACUCUCCGACAAGAGCGACGUCUACAGCUUCGGCGUCGUGCUGACGGAGAUCAUCACGGCGCUGAAGGCUGUGGACUUCAGCAGGGCGCAGAGCGAGGUGUACUUGGCGGCGCUCGCGGUGGACAGGAUCGGCAAAGGCUGCAUCGACGACAUAAUCGACCCUCACCUUGCCCCGCACAGAGAUCCACGGACGCUGGCUUCCAUUCACAAGGUGGCCGAGCUGGCGUUUAGAUGCCUUGCCUUCCACAGGGACAUGCGGCCGUCCAUGACGGAGGUGGCGGACGAGCUCGAACAGAUCAGGCUCAGCGGGUGGGUACCCACCGACGGCAGCAUGUUCUUGUCGAAGUCGUCCUCCUCGUGCUCGUCCCCGUCGAGCUGCAACGAGAAGCCGCGCACGACGUCGAAGAGUAGGAGGUUGGCGUCGGUGAGCAGCAGGGGAGAGGAAGUGAAGGGAGGAUCCCCUGUUUCGGUGCAGGAGCCAUGGUUCAGCGAUCGGAGCUCUCUCUCCGAGAACAACCUGUUGGGCAACGCAAUCCAUUGAUCUGCCAUGCUCUUUCGUCCAUCUGUACUGAAAACACACACUUUGGAGUUGAAUACGCACUGUCUCUAUACAGAAGUGGCAACAAUUUCCAUGUUCUCUUCGUCACUACGUUCUCUUCAAAUCAAUACUUUUGCAUGGAUAAUUAGGAUGCCUAUGUUCCUCUCACGCGUCAGAUUCCGGUCGACGGCUACAGCUAUCUUGGCGCCGCCUCAAGAAAUCCUUUGUGACUCGAUGAUGAAGGCAAUUGGAAAAGAUUUAGGAGGCAUCGCAGCGCAGAGUAAAAGAGCUGUCUGGAACGAUGUACUCUGAAUCGACUACAUUAUUCCAAAAAAUUUGUUUGCAGAUAUUUGAUUUCCAUAGCCUUGCACUGUCGAGGCAGCAAUGUCAAAGUAGCAGUUGAGCUUGAAAGAAGGAUCAUGAUGCUUGUUCUCGAAGCUCCAUGAACACCAGGAAGUGAUCUCAAAUGUCAUGGCCGGUCUCCUAAUCAAAUAAGUCAACCACCGGAAAUCAGACAUUUGUCCCAUGUCAUUAACGGACGGACAGGUGCCCGAUAAAGACCCUCCGGUGUCAGCUCCAGCAAAUUCUACGUUUGAGCUCCGACAAAGUUGUGUUCUCAGAUUUCUUGCACUGACCAAAUCACAUGUUCUUCCUCCUCAUUAAAUUUUGGUUUACAUUGAGCUCAGUUGAUGACAGUAUACAAUCUGCAAACGCAACAAAUAAUGUGAAACAUAUGGAUUGCAGGAAAAGGUAUCCGAUUUGGUAACUCGAGAGACCCAAGCAUAGAUCAAAUGUGAAAGGCUCUGAGAAGGAAAUUUGCAACCCACACCUAACUAUGUUAGCUCAUAAGGCGGCGAGGAAAGAAGAUAUGGCAAAACUUUGAUCCAUCCAGCACUAAUUUUAGUUUGACCAAUACAGAACAUGAAAAGGACCCUAACUUAAGGAAACCGACUUCUUUGAGCUGUGGUAAGAGUUGUGCUUUGGCUCUUCCAAGCAUGAAGAGGUGUGUGUGUAUAUAUAUAUAUAUAUAUAUAUAAGACGAAGNNNNNNNNNNNNNNNNNNNNNNNNNNNNNNNNNNNNNNNNNNNNNNNNNNNNNNNNNNNNNNNNNNNNNNNNNNNNNNNNNNNNNNNNNNNNNNNNNNNNNNNNNNNNNNNNNNNNNNNNNNNNNNNNNNNNNNNNNNNNNNNNNNNNNNNNNNNNNNNNNNNNNNNNNNNNNNNNNNNNNNNNNNNNNNNNNNNNNNNNNNNNNNNNNNNNNNNNNNNNNNNNNNNNNNNNNNNNNNNNNNNNNNNNNNNNNNNNNNNNNNNNNNNNNNNNNNNNNNNNNNNNNNNNNNNNNNNNNNNNNNNNNNNNNNNNNNNNNNNNNNNNNNNNNNNNNNNNNNNNNNNNNNNNNNNNNNNNNNNNNNNNNNNNNNNNNNNNNNNNNNNNNNNNNNNNNNNNNNNNNNNNNNNNNNNNNNNNNNNNNNNNNNNNNNNNNNNNNNNNNNNNNNNNNNNNNNNNNNNNNNNNNAGGUGUGUGUGUAUAUAUAUAUAUAUAUAUAUAUAAGACGAAGGACCUAUUCUUGGCAUCAGCAAUCUUGCAACAAGGAGGCAAGCUAUCAUGGGCAACUGCAGUGGUCUUCAUUGUAGAAGGUUUGUCUCCUUCUUCCUUCGCCUAAUUGCCUCCUCCCUUCUCGUCUUCUUCGUUGGCAUGCAUAGGAGAUGAAACUUAUUAUAUAAACAGAAAUAGAAGAAGACCGUUAGGAUUAAUAAGUAUUUUAGGAUUUUUUAGGGAUAAAGAAUCUUCUUAGUACCAAAAGGAGUCUCUUGAAAGAAGAGAAUUAUCCUGAAAUCUAGCAUAAACUAUUCUAUAUAUCUUAGGUUUUGAUAGUAAAAAAGAAUAAUCGGAGGAAAGAGUUUUAUUCUCUAAAGUUUUGAAAAGAGCGAGAAAAAAAAUAUAAAUUCUUAGAAAUUUACUUUUAAAAAGUACAAUGACAUUUAUAUUUGAAUAGAAAGAACUUAAGAAUCACAACUUGUGAUUGAUCUCACGUAAGGAAGAAUUUAAUCUAACAUUGAUAUAGAUCAUCAAACCAAGUUAAAUCUUAUAUCGAUUUUUAGAUAUAUUAUUAUUCGAUCAAUGAUAUCUGGUUUUGCAAGUAUUCUUUCACACAGACCCUCCCUUGGAAGCAUUAGGAUUUGUUUACCUAAGACAAUCUAUUACGUAUCGUAGUGUAACAAUCACGAUGGUCAAAUGAACUCAAGAUAACGAGACAAGUGUAACGAUGAGUCAGGCAGACAUCAUUUUCACUAUCAUGCGGCGAUGGUGAUGGCUACUUGCAGGGAAAGAUCCAUGGAGCUGAAGAAGGAUCGCAGAUUUGAUUCCAUGGGCGCUGCUCAUGAAGGGAUAAAGACGGUGGCCAUCGAAAAGGUUUGUGAGUUCUCCACCAGCUCAGUUACUUGUGUCUGCAUAGUGACAUGGAACAUGAAUGGAAAGGUAGACAAAGGUUUCGAUUUGGCUGACCAAGCAAAAGCACCUAUGUAUUCCCGAUUCACGUUGGAUUCACAACCCCAUGUUGGUUUAUUCCAAGGCAUCCUCGGGCGACAUGGCGGAGCUCAUCGGCUGGCACAGAAGGUUUGAUCUUUUAGCGGUAGGGUUGCAGGAAGUCCCAAAGCAUGACGUCGGAGUGCAGUUGCAGGCUGCUCUUGCCGAAACCCACCGGUACUUCAUUCUUACUGCUUCAUAUCUUGUGGAACUUCUCAUAUACCGUCCUUCUUUUAGCCUCUUGGCAGCAGCGACGAUGCAAUCGCUGCAACUGUUUGUGUUCGGCCCCAAAAACUCCCAACCCUUCGCGAAAGGUGAGAGCACGCAGAAACAGGGAGCCGCCACGAGAACUCCGCUUGCAGCUUCUGCUGACAACUCCUCGACGAUGCAGAGACGAGGGUGGACAAGCACGCAGUCAGAGGCUGUGGAGGGUUGGUAGGAAGGAAGAAGGGAGCCGUGGGCGUGCAUAUCGAGUUCAAUGGAAUCCGCAUGGUCUUCAUUUCCUGUCAUCUCUCAGGUGUGGAAUGCUUGGAUCGAUCCUACUGCUCAUAAGCAAUCGUAUCGAACUGUCGUGUGUGUGUUACAUGCAGCUCAUGCGCGCAACGUGGAGGAGAGGAACUCCCAGUGCAGGCACAUCUCCCACUCGCUCUUCGCCAAGGACGGGAAUCCAUGUCGGAGGCAUUGCCAUGUGACGGUGUGGAUGGGAGAUCUCAACUACAGAUUGCAGGGAAUCAGCACCCACCCAGCACGAAGCCUGAUCCGUAAGAACCUUCACAACGUACGUAAGAGAUCAUGCCUCACAUCUGUCCUCUCCUCUCCUCUCCGUGCUUAGGUACUCUGCGUUACGUGAUGACGAUGCAGCUGUUGACGAGCAAGGACCAGCUGCUCCGAGAAGCGGAAAGCGGGGAAGUGUUCGAUGGGUACUGCGAAGGGAGCUUGUCGUUUAAGCCGACGUACAAGUACGACGUGGGGAGCAACAACUACGAUACGAGCUACAAGGUGAGAGAGAGAGAGAGAGACAGAGAGAGAGAGAGAGAGAGAUCAUUGCUGGUUAGCAUUCAGUGCCCGUGCAAUGACUGCUCGCUAUGAUUCACAGGUCAGAGUGCCUUCGUGGACCGACAGAAUCUUGUUCAAGAUCGAUAGCUCAUCGGGGAUCGAUGCGGCGUUGCACUCCUACGAGUCGAUCGAUCGAGUCAAGACCUCUGACCAUAAGCCAGUGAGGGCCCACCUGUGUUUGAAGGUAAAGAGUGUGUGAGUGAUCUCUAACAUGCAAAAAUCAUAUGAAUGGUGUGAUGUCAAUCUAUGGAUAGUGUUGUUGUGGAGACGGUGACGGUUUGAAAUAAUAAUAAUAAUAAUAAUAAUAAUAAUAAUAAUAAUAAUAAUAAUAAUAAUAAUAAUAAUAAUAAUAAUAAUAAUAAUAAUAAUAAUAAUAAUAAUAAUAAUAAUAAUAAUAAUAAUAAUAAUAAUAAUAAUAAUAAAAGAAAGGAAAAAAAAAAGACUUAUAAAAAGACAUCGCCGUUGCCGGGGAUCGAACCCGGGUCACCCGCGUGACAGGCGGGAAUACUCACCACUAUACUACAACGACAUUGUUGUAUUAUCUUCACUUUAAAAAUAUAAAUACUAAAUAUUAUUAGAAUAUUAUUUACAAAAAUGAACCAUUGAAUUUAGAUUAAAAUUACACCUAAACAGGCAAACAUUACAUCCAACCAUAUUCAAAAAAAUUACUUCCUGUGUAACAAUUGCUGCUAAAUUUAAUAAGCUUAAAAUCACAUGAAACUAAAACCAUCUUGGUGAGUAGGAUGUUUUCCUAAAAGGAAAAUUCAGCCAGGAGUUUGUAGCUUUGAAAUAUUUCACAAAUCCUAACAACAAUAUAUAUAUAAACACUUCCAAUGUAGUUUCUGCAUGCCACAUCACUUCAACUGGAGACCUUGGAGUUGUGGUGAUCUCAUCAUGGUCUUGUUAUUCAUUCACAGAGCAAGAAGAGCCACGCUAUCUUCAAGAAACUCAUAAUAGAAUAAAUACUAAAUACAUUCAGCUGUUUCCACACUACCCUCCUCCCAUUUUGCUGUCAGCCAGGCUAGUUCUUAGAACAAGCCCAACUACAUACCACGAAACACCCAUGGAUCCUCUUCUUCAAGGAUUUUCCCUGCCCUAACCUUUUGGCACGCAAAAUACAGGCGUGACUAGUCCUAGAACAGAAGCUUGAGAAGAGAAAAAUAAUGGAGAAAAGAGAUACAAACAGGAAAAACAAGGCUUUACAGGUACUGCUGGUUUUGUGAGUACAGAUUGCCGAUGCGUCUCAUCCACCAUGGUCGCAUCUCGCCGUAGCCUGUGCACUGCCCGUCCCCUUCCUCCUCGCUGCCGAAAAGAGUUUGGUCUGAGCAAUCGAGGCUGGCCCCACAUGCCGCAUUAUAUGACCGGCAAGCAGAGUGGCACACCCGGAGCCUAUUAUCUCCAUCCUUGUCACAACGUUGGAUUGAGAUCUACAAUAGAAAAGGAGCAAAAAGUUAAUAACUUGUUAACCUUCUGAAUGCCAUACAAAGUGGUGCAGGUACAUCCCUCUUCCCGACACCAUCUUGGCUAUAUUGUUAAAUAAACUAGUGAUCAAUCAUAUAGACAGGUGAUGGCAAGCAUGAGCAAACAGGACAAAGGCUAGCUUCAGAGCACAACUUAUUAUAGGUAAAAAAUUGAACCAGAGUGUCUAUUCAACAAAUUGGGUGAACACUACAUGAAUGUUGAUUGUUGUGAAAUAAGAUGAAGUAUCCUAUUUCCCUGAUAGACGCUGUUCAUAUCUUUACCAAGAGUAGCAAAUUAAACUGUUUAUAAAAAUUAUGAAAACACAAUCCAAAAACUUUUUUAAAAUCCAUGUACCGGUGAUACAGAACCAAUCAACAGAACAUUUAACAGAAUCUUGAGAGUCAAUAGAUGCGAAUAACAUACCCAGCAGGCGAGCCGCUUUGCUGCAGCAGCACAGUGGCCAUUAUUAAGGAUGCUAAACAGCAUCCGGCCACCUGGCAUCAACCGGUUGUAAUUAGGCAUUACUACAGCUGAUUCAAGCUGCUGGAGUAUGCUUGGUUCACUUGGCGCACAGUGUUGUCCAAAUGCAUCCUGAGCUAGCACAUCACCACAAAUCGAAAGGCUAGGCAGCAACGAGGAGCUGUUCUGGCAAGUAUAGCCAGCAUAAUCGGAACAGCGGAACUCACAAACACCAUUGUCACAUACUCCUCCAUGCAAGCUGCACUGCUCAUCGCAAAUAGCUGCAAAAUAUGCAUUAAUGACUCAAUUUGAAUGCUUUCUUUGGUUUAAGAGCAUGAGCAUCUAAUUGUUACUGUACAGGUAUCAAACAUAACAAAUGAAUUUGGAAGACAACAUGGAUAGCAGAACAGGGAAGAGUACCAGUGGAGCAAUCAAUGCCAGCAAAGCCACUGUCACACUGACAGGCACCAUUUGGAUGGCAUGUGCCAUGCUCGCUACAAUUUCGUGGACAUGAUCCUGUAAAUGAAGAAACAUAGUUUAUAUAGUGAAAAGCAUGAACUAGAGCACAAUGCACGAGUUGUCAAUACUGCAGAGUGAAAAAGAAAAGACGAUCUGAAAGGAUGUUAUAAUGCCACUACAAUAUUGUAAAAGGUAAAAGAUCAGCCAGUCCUUUGUAAGGCAGCAUAAUACAAUUUAGAAAUGGUUUCUACUUUGUGAUAGAAUAAGACUGAGAUCAUAUCCUUCAUAGUGAAUCAUCCCGACGGUUAUAAUGAUGUAAGAUAUGCUUCUUGGCAUACAUUUUACUCGUAACUUUCACAACAUCAGCGAAGCUAAAAUCAUCAUCAAACAAAGAAAGCCAAAUAUCCCACUGAGGACAAUUAUUUAAUUGAUGCCAGAAAAAUGAUGUAGCACCCCACCCACCCACUAUAGAAUCAUAUAAUCUUUAUUUGUUUUCUCAAAAAUCUUAGUGGCAUGACCAGCAAUAAUUGUAGGAACAUAUCACUUAUUCUAGCUCCUCCAAUUCAGUUGAGCAUUUUGAAACUCACUCCUGCUUGACAGUUCAGGACUUCUAACUAAACCCCAUGACAAACUAAAUAUAUAUGAAGGGUUUAAUCAUGUUAACUCACUUUGGCUGCAGUCAUCACCAUGAAACCCAAGGAAGCAGUGGCACUCCCCAUCUAUGCAAUCACCAUUAAAACUACAGGAGCCAGGACAUUGGCCAAUUAUAGGCACCGGUGCACCACUGCACAACUCAUGAUAUGCUGGGCAUAUCAGCUCACCUGAAUCAUCAAGGUAGUAUAUCUAACUGUGAGUCCACAAAGAUCACAUAUGUGAUGUUUAACACAAUGACCAACUCACCAUUGAAUCCUGAAAAUUGAACAGGACCACCAGAUUCACGACAGACCUUCCAAACACCGUCCACAGCAACCUAGAUAAAAGAAAUUAAUAAGAUCUACCAUGGUUAUAUGUGAGCAUAGGUCUACAGACACAUGCUAGAUCCACCUGUCAUGAAGUCGAUAAAUCUAAAACAAUAUUGCAAGGACAGGCAGAGGAAAACCUAAAAAAGGAGCAAAUAAUAAAUUGCAUCGUGAAAACUUGUUUGCUACAGAUCCAAAGGAGGACAACAAUUACAAGUUUGUCUGCAUUAGGUAGGAAUUUCUUCUGCAACAUUCAGAAUAAUUUUAUACUUAAGAAAUAAACUGGUUCAAAAUAUGUCAAACCAAUUUCACUAUCCAAUCCAAUUAUUUAUAUUCAGAACAUAUGCCAUCUACAAAGUUACCAAGAUACAAUGCAGGUCCAAUAGUUACCAUCAAUGACCAAGGUAAAUUACAAUCUACAAAGCUUAGACACCAAUCCUGGCUGCCAGAGUCCCUACUGAUAAAAUCUCACAUGAAUUGAUCAGACAAAUCAAGUGUAUGAAGAGUAAAUAAGCUGUCCUACUUACUGGCGUGAAAAACAACAGGAAGAUUAUGCAAGAUAAAAAGUUGUUUUACCUCUAAAGUGUUGUUUGUACACCUGUGUUGAUAACAACCAUUACCCUGAGUGGUAGAGCCCCUCACAAAGCCUGUGCGCACCAAUGAUGAAGUCAUGCACCUAACAAGCAUGUACCACCAGAUAGGAAGGUGAUCAAGAAAGACUACAGUUUUGGUCUGUUUAAACACUGCUUCAGGCAUAUUUGGAUUUCCCAUUAUGUUAUACACUUUAAUAUUUAAGCCUUUUCUCACAAGCAAAUUUAACUUAUGCAGUUACACCAAAUACUAAAUCUCGUUCUUACCUGGAGUUACUUCCUCGGACCUCACCUAACAUUCUAUCAGGUGCACGUGCACUGUUGGUGUCUGUGCAAGAACCAUCAGAAUAAGCAACAAAAUAUGUGCAAUAGUCUGCCAAUGAUGAUUGCCCACCUGCAAUACAACAGGUCUUAAAACAUAUUUAAAGAAUGCAUCAUCUGAAAAGCUCACAUUUCUAAAUCUUAUGAGCUACAAAAAUACCGCUUCAGUUGGAUUGAUAAAAUGAAUGAUAGCUUUAUCUAAUGAGGGCAAACUUAGGCACGUUUGCUUCAAACUGGAGCUAGAAGUAGGAUUACAAAACUUGUAGUCAAUACAAUGCAAUUAUUUAGCAUGCAAAUGUGCAUAGUUCUAGUAAAUUGAUGGUUCACUACAUACAAAAUUAUAAAGAAUGAUAUCAAGAAUUAACUUUUUCUCAACCACAAGGAGUCCUUUUCAAAAACAAACAUAGGUAAGAAGAUAAGGACAUGAAAAAGAGAAAUUGUCACACGAGGCUCAUAUCAUACAUACACAAACCUGCAGUGAUUCGUUUUUGUAAUUAGAACCCCAAGGAGAUGGAAACACAAAGCAAGAAAGCUUCUUGUAAAUCUGAAACAGCUAUAUCACCAGACAGGCAGACUAACAAUUUCACUUCAAAUUGCCAAGGUUGAUCACACUGUUAUACAAUUCACCUUUCUUUGCCUUCAAUGUGUUUCACCAAUUACAGACAAUAUAUGCAUAGCCUAUGCCCCCUUAGCCUGUCUAUAGUCUGGUCCAGCUUGAUCUCACUCAUUUCAUCCACCUGUGGCAUCUCCUCAGCUUCAUCCAUCAAGUGACUAUUUAUACCUAUUUGAAUUUGUAAAUUUAAUAUUUCAAUUACCCCACACUGAAAAACAAGAACCAACCAGAAAAUGUGACUGCUAUUCUGACUCAAGAUCAGAACCCUCCAAACAGGCAGCAUUGGAAGGUGCUCAGAGGUUCCAAGCCAGCACAGAGUACUGGCAUUUAAAAGACAACAAGAACAAUAAAAUAAAAUAAAAAAACACGAUACAUCAUUAUACUUUAUCAUGAAAUAAGAAAGACCAAAGACAUCAGAAGAUGAUAUCAUGAAUAUCAUCAUGAAAUAGAACACAUAUUUCCAAGCUUACCUUUAUUAGCCUGUGGGAAAUAUUGAGCCCAUUUUGGCAAGUCCCCAUUAUAGCUUACAAUAGGACAAUACCCUUCUGCCUCCUUGUUGUAUGUACAGCCUGACAACUGAGUAGUGUUGCAUCGGUAUGCCCCUUUCCAGUGAUUGCAAGGAGAUGUAACAAAUUCAGUUCCUUGAUUCCAACCCCAGUCAAGGUGAUCUGCCAUGCUAUAAUUAGCAUGAUACCACCCACUGUCCUCUAAUAAAGCCAAAGUCAUUUUUGAAACUACAGAUCUUGUAUCGACAGAUCCUGUCAUAAUUUCAUUCAUUAGAAGUCUUUUCUCCCAGUGAGAUCCUGCCAAUAAUUCAUGUAUCAUUUAGAAAUUAUGGUGAGAAACUUAAUGGGAUAUUCGAUGAGGCAUUUUGACUACACUCCACUUAUGAAAUUGAAGGUACCUGAUGUACCACGACCCCCUCCAUCUUCCAACUCUAAGCCAGUAAAAUUUUCAGAAAAUGCCUGACAGAAAAGUAUAACCACUGUGCUCAGCGACACCAUAAUCUCAAAUCCAGGAACUGAAUUCAUUUGCAUACUGCCAUUACAGAAUAAAGAAAGAAUCUCAUUUCCCCUUAUGGUUCAGUUAAACAUACCCCAUAGUGAUGUCUGGCAUGCAUAACAACUCGAGGCAGGACCACACGUGUGACCAUACGCCCAAGCUUCUCAUCCAUAACUUGAACAGUGACCUAAAAAAAAGAAUGAUCCAUUAGAUAUUACAGAUGAUAAUUGAAUAGUAAGGACUAACCAAUUGAGCUAAACAGGAUUAGAAAUUAGUGAAGAAACUGCAAAUGGAUACCUGGCUACGCCUUCUUUUUCUCUCAUCACGGUAGUGUGCAAAGGCAUGAGGAUCAAAACCUAAAACAUGCAUGACCUAUGGACAGAAAUCCUCAUAAGUUACCAGGAGUAGUUGAAGGAUUGGUUUGUAGAAUGUUGCUAACCUCAUGUAUCAAAGUAGCUGAAAGUAACGUUUCAGCUUCAGCUGUUAAAUGACGGGGAGCGACAUUUACAUGACCUACCGAUUGCGUAAGGCUAAAUUACAUUAGCAUAAACAUCAUAGUUAAAAAAAUCCAGAUAAAGUUUGUCAGUAAAUGCCAACAAACUUAUGAUAUAAAAAGCACCUGCGAUUGCACGACCCCAUUGAUCUCGUUCACAUGCCACUGCCCAAGCAAGAGUGUUGCCAGUUGUGGGUCUAGUGGUUACCAAGAGAACCAGGUCUGAAUCAGAAACACCAUCUGCAAAGUAUAGGUAGAUUUAUAUGACCAGAAAAAUAAAGGAGAAAUGCUGAAGCCAAGAUAAUAUAACAAAACUAAACUACAUCGGCACCUUCAACAUAUUCAUGGGGGAGUUGCACCCCACCAUCCUGUCCACAUGCAGAAUAUCCACUCAACCGUAAGUUUCCCUUGACAGGUUCAACUGCUAAAGCACUUUUGAACCACUCUGCUGUUUGUCCUAGUGCCUGCUCAAGAAUUUUUUUUAUGAACAAAAACAAUCGAUCUAGGGUCUCCACAAAUAAGAAUGAUAAAACAUCGUCACUAACUUCACUAAUUUUUGUAUCCAAGUCAAUUUUGGCCAAUAGAAUGGUUAGUUUCUGUCAGAUCUUCAUAGGCUUCACCAUCUUCAACCAGUACUGGAAGAUUCAAAUUACACUAAAUUCUAAACAUUAAAGCUUGACCAUAUCCAAUUUCCAAAAGUGAAUCCAUCACAAAUAUCCACUGAUUAGGUCUACUAGACAUUUUUUCUUUCCCAGUUUUGACUCUUUCUAUAAAUUGACCCAAUCCUACCCUCUAAUGGCCAAAUUGAAAGUCAAACUAUCAAGCUUUAAAGAUGAUCAUACGCAAGAUCGGGUUGUUUGCUUGUCAUUACAUUUAGUUCUUAGUGAAAUGCUUCCCAAAUUCCUCAUGACAGCUUGAACUAAAGUAACACAGCUUAUACUUAUUUCCAUGCCAUCAGCUUUUGAAGCAUUGUGUCUUUCAUUCUAUGCAUACAAAAUCUGGUUGAAAUAUUAGAAAUUUAACCCAAUAUGUUUCAUUAAUACAACCUUAAUAGACAUCACCAUGAUGCAUAACAGCAGCUUUUGUUAAGUCCUAACUGCUAAGUACUUAGAAGUAAGGAUUGCUACCAAAAGCUGAAAAGAAUGAACCUAACGAACACAAUAUUGAGUUUGACUAAUUGAAAAUUAAAGACUAAUGAGCAACAGCAGAAGAGAUAAUUUAGUAAAUGUAACUAGUCUAGUAGACAUAAUACUUGUUGGAAUAAUACGCUAAUACUUCAUAGAGUUCUAUCUGUUCUAUUUUGGCGCAUUGAGUUCAUUGUCAGAAUGCUUGUAAUACACUUUUAGCUUACAGUGCAUCACUCGAAGUAAAUAAAAGUUCACCUAAAGAUGUAAAGCCACAGAUAGGGUACAAAAAUGAUAUUAAACAACAUGAUGUAAAGCUAAAUGGCAUUAAUAUUCUCUUCUAGUUUUCUUGAGGUUUCCAAAACCUAAUUCAGUACAGACAAAAAGUGGAACUUCACCGAAUGGACAGAAACUGAACUUGAAAGUGAGACACCUUGAAUGCACUAUUUUAUGUUCUCAUCUAGUUACCACCCACAAGUUGAGAAAUCAAAAGUUGGAUGAGAAAACAUAUGCAAAUUUUGGGAAAAAAAUUAAUGAGCAUUUUGCUCUUAAAAAAUGGGCAAAUAAAGAAAUAGACAAAUCGAAUCGGUAUAUACAAGUUAUACCCACAUGAAUCAAUGCCGACAUGGUUGAAGCACCAACAGACAAGAAAUUGUACCUUUCGAAGGCGUCUUUUUUUAUCCUCCCCUGAAAUGUCUUCCGAUGUGCAGUUGUACCAACAAUCUGCAAAUACUGGCCGAUCCCCAUGAGUCUUGCACACAGGGGUUCUUGGAACUGAUGUUACAGGUGGUUCACCAAGCUGAAAUACCAUCAUGAUAAGAGAUUAAUUCACACCAAAAGAACGCAAGACUCUGAAUUCAUAGUUGGAGGAAUUAUCUAACAGAAACACAUUUACCUUCACGAGUUCACCAACAUUUUGGCAAUCCCUAUCAAGAGAAUGCCCCACAGCAUCAUAGUUCAAAAGUAUCCGGAUGGGCUGCUUUGCAUCCUUUUGCAGCAAAGGUGCCGAGGACACCUCAAGCAAAGCUCGUCCACCACUAUGGCGUGACCUCGACAAACUAGACUGGUAAUAAAUUUGUGGAGUAACGGAGUAUUCUUUUCGACCAGGCCGACGCCUCUGAUGGAGUAUCUCAUCAUGGAUGCAUGAGUGCGUGAGUUGAACAUCUUUCUCCCCCACCUUAGGAUUUUGCGAAAACAGCAGCUCACUGUCUUGAGAUUUUGCACCGGUUCCUCCAAAACACACCAGAAGCAACACAAACUGUACAGAGAAUAGCAAAUUGAAACUGUGAACUUCCUGUAUCGGCCAAAAUCGCACCAAAGUAUCAGAAAAACAAAUUACUGUAGCGCAUUAGGUGGACAAAAAGAACGAUAUCAAAUAGCCAUUGAAUGCACUAGAUCAACACAAAAAGCGCUUCACAAUUUUGAUGAACCCACAGAAAAAAGUAUAAAGCUGGUUCUAUACAAAGCACAGCAACGACUGCAAAGCUUUCAACAAAAACUCAUGAACAUCACGAACAACUACAAGAAAGAAUCAAGACUUCUGUCACCGCAAGCAGUUCGACCGAUUCCAUAACGCAAAAAAGAAUAAUCAUCAGAAACAUCUUAAAACUACACAAAGAUGAUAUUUUUUUCGACGAAAACGAUAAUAAGAAAAGUAAGCCCUAAACCACAACCAGCCCGGUCACCCAAUUGCCCCAGAUCACAGCAGACGCCGUAAUCCAAGGUAAACUCGAGACAACUAUCAUCCAAAUUCUUCGCACCCGCAACACAAGAAACCCCCAAAACUUCCAAAACCUCAAGAUCGGCGGAUCAACCCGCCCUACCUCAAGAGUGACAGCUGCGACAAGCACCGACAAGCGAAAUGCUGCCCUCGACGACACCCCGCGAGGAAGCGAGGGCUUCACCUCCAUAUAUCGACCCCAGGAGUUCCCAGAGCCGCUUCCAUCAAACCACGACGGGACCACCCAUUCGCGCAACCUAGCACGACCGGCUCCGCCUUGGCUGGAAAGGAGCUAGCUUUCCCCACCGGCCGGGUCGUUGCUAUGCCGGCACGCCGCCCGGGUCGAGAACUCCCGUCGCGUGGCCUUCCAAGGGCGGAUCAGAGCACCAUUACGAGCGGCGACGCUCCCCGACGAGCGAUGGAGGAUUCUGGGCGCCGGAAGCAAGGAAGAGAGUAAGGUUUAGGGAAGUCUACCACGCGAGAGAGAGAGAGAGAGAGAGAGAGAGAGAGAGAGGAGGAGGAGGAGAAGUCGUGUUACGGUCACCGCUCGCUUAAAUCUUCACCCGAAAGAACGACACGAUUUAAUUUUAACGGUCAUUAAAAUAAAAUCCAUUUUUUAAUAUAUAAUACAAAUACCACUGCAAUUGAAUUUUAUAACGAAAAUGCCAUCAAUUCAGUCUAGCAUUAUAAUUAGAGCCAAUUACAGCAAGACUUUUGUUAUACAUUAUUAUUCUAAGGUAAUUAUUACAAAACAGUAAAAAAUUUAAAUGAUGUUGAUUUAACAAUGGACGGUGAUCGAUGAAAGAAAGAAAAACUCAAUUAAACGUUGUUCUCACUUUAAAUUAUAUAUAAAUGUUGCUUAGUUGAAAAUUAUGACAUACUAUAUUGAUUGUAGCUGAGGAAAGCUGAAGGGGUCAAAAGAGUGUUAGAUCGUGUCGAUAAAAAAAAGAUGCAUUUAUGACAGCCAAAUUGGAUAGCUUCAUUUCUGAUCAAUUCUGGAUCUUAUGCCAUAAAUUCUUCCUCCUCAUGAGUGUGAAUAUUUAGUUCUGUUUAAAGAAAACAGUGCAGUGGAAAAUGUGGAGAAGCUUCAUAAUUUUUCCAAGUCAUACUCGUUGAAGAUGUCAUUGAUGUGUCCUUUCCUUAGUCAAACAAGCUAAAAUAGGUCAUUGUUUUCCUUUUCGUUAGGAUAGAGUGAGAAACGUUCUUUUCUGUAUGAAACAAUCAGCUAAAGCAUACAUACAUCAAAACAAGGAUCAUCGAUUUCCACAAAGAUCUGAAUCUUCAAUUGCUUUGUGAUAUGAGGUUAUGGUAGUUGUGUCCGAAAAAAUUUUAGGUUCAAGUCAAUUCAGAGAAAAAAUGCUACCACAAACACUGCUUAUUGAUGUUAAAGAUCUUCUUCAUCCUAAGUUUCUGAGAACUGAUCACUCUAUGCAUAUUACAUUCACCUCCAAUCAGCAUAAUCACAUUUUGUAUACUGAUCAUCCACCUUGUCAUAAUAUUUGAGAGAUACAGGAAGAUGGUAACAAGCAAAUCAUAUACUUCAUAUAUUUGCAUACUGAUCAUCCACCUUGUCAUAAUGCUAAGAGAUACAGGAAGAUGGUAACAGGCAAAUCAGAUACUCCAGCUCGGCUAAAAUGUCAAAUCUUACUGAUCCCAACCCCAACCAUAGUUGUAAGACAGAUAGAUAGAUAGAUAGAUAGACACCCACCCACAAACCACCAUAACUAUACAAGAAGGUCCUGCUGUAAAUACAUGUGAGCUAGAUGGCAUAUUCAUACACAAAUAAAUUUUCUUCCAAGUGGAGUUGCCGGAUGGAAGGAAAGGUUCAAUUUUAGAAGCAGCAAGAAUUGCUGCUCCAGUGGGAUAAGGAAGAGGGAAGAAGCCUUGACAUGGUGGGCAGGGUUUGGUAUUGCUCCGAUCCCAACCUUCCAAGGAAAGCCACUUGUUCUAUUGUUUACGUGCCUUCAUGUAAUUAUGUGUAGGCUUAUUCUUUCUCCUCCUCCUUCUUCCUGAUUGCCUGCUGAACAAUUCAAGGGUAGGUGGAGAACAGGUCAUGUAGUCGAACUAUCUUACUUUGGGUCAUCUAUGGCUUUGUUUAUUAUAUGCACAGGAAUCAAAAGAAAUGUGUUCAAUUAUUUAGUCUUAUCCGGAGAGAACCACUGGGCAAUAGCUACUAUCAAUUGUGAAUGUCGUCCACAGAGAGUCAAUUGGAUCUCAACUAUCUAUCUUUUGGGAAGAUAGAAUCACAGGACUCAAAGGAAUUUAGCUAAACAAUAAUAAGACAACCAAAAAGUAACAUAGUAAAAAAAAGUCACUUAGGUACCACUAAGCAGAUAGGACAUAUGUAACAACACUUACCUAUUAGCUCUGCUCCAACAGUAGUUAGUUCCAUAUUACAUGGUACUGAGAGAAGGCCUACAGGAACAAAAAAAAAAAGAGGAAGAGAACAAAGAGAGAUUGUGAUGACAGCGAGUUAAGCACUUUCCUGCAGAGUUGGUGACUGAAGCCACUUUAAUAACAUAGUAAAUUGAAAGAAAGAAAGAACCCAAAAGUAAUGUAAAUAACUUGUACUGAUGUGCUCGAGAGAAGGAGAUGGUUAAGAAAUCCCCCAAGUCUGCUGACGAAGAAGACUGUAUGAAACAAGUCCUGUGCUCCAGCCAUGCCUCCAUCCUAAAUCAUGAUUGCUUCACCUGAAAAGCCAAAACCCAACAAGAACGCACUGCUUCUUCUUCAACCAUGUCUUCACCUAAAAAAAUCCCGACACCCGGGCAGCAUACUUCUUCUUCAGAGGACACUUGCAUGCCUCCUUGGAAUCGGAGGUGGGAUUUCUUUGCAUCAGUGGACACCACCACCACGAGACAGGGGUUCCUUAAUCUUGGAAGGAAGAAGCAGUUGGACACCAUGGCUAUUGCUUGGUGUCAAAGAAACACCCAACCUUGUGCGGAUUUAUCCUUGUAUGGACCUGUGGCAACACAAGAACAACU